CGGUCGACCCGACGCCCGCCCGCCGCCGUGCCCGAUUAGUUACCAGAGCUAGAUUAGCCUAGCCCGUCCAUCCCCCGUCCCCUGCUUUUGCCUGGUCCUGUUGCUUCUUUCUUGGGUUUCUUGCUGUGCCGUUGGUGUCUGGUUGCUUUGGCAUUGGCAGGCACGCUGUUGACUCCUGGUGUGCAAACGGAUUAUUAGCCAAUUAGGAGUAGCAGUAGAUGAUUCACGCUUUGGUGUCGAUCUACCUUUGCAUUUCCUGUGUACAUAAAACCACCUGUCAUUUUCUUUUGUCGUAAGAUGAGAAAAAGGAUGAUGGAAGCCUGGGUUCAGUUUGCUUCGUACACGCAGUUGCAUCUCAAGUAUUUUCUGUGAACAUAUCUUGAGAUAUAUCUUCAUGAUUACUUAAAAGAGGAACGGGUGGUUAAUUGAUGGAGGGCUGGGGAAGGUUGUUGUUUUGGGUGCGAAACCGGACGCGUGUAGACCGCGGACUCGGCCGUCGAGCGGCGGGCGACGAAGCGCUGACCGCGGAGCACCCUCGCGCUACGAACGAGUCUGAGCCGUGUUAAACUCGGUCGCUGCCGCGCUCAGCUCAGCCUGCGCCACCCUGUCGUCAUGUUCAGCGGUAAUUCAUUUUCUCUCUCGUACAAAUACCCCAAAACCUGGAACCAACAAAAUUUAAAGACAUGUGAACUUGCUGAAUUGCAAGAGCAUCUACAACCGGAAGUAUCAAAAUCCCCAAAAUGACCGUGGACACACCCCGGACAUGUUCAUGGACAGCGACCGGACUACACACAAAAAUUAUCCGCUACAUUCAUGAACCUCAAACUUUAUACCUCAAGUCAUGCCGCGUAUACAUCUUAAACUAUUUAUAGUCAUGCAGAUCGAAAACCUAUGUACUACGUACAUAUCUUAAACUACUUAUCGUCGGAGAUGUCGCCGAUCCUCGUGCCCGGCUCGGGUAGACGGGCAACUGCAGCAGCUCCGGCUCGUCGUCGUCUGAAAUAGAGGCGAAGAGCUCAUUGAUCUCCGCCAUUUGCUGCCGGAUGAAGUGUCAGUUGGCCUCCACAUAGGGCUCAUCCUGGAUGGACUCGCGGAUGGCCAAUUGCUCCACCAUCUUCGUCUCUUGCAUGACCUCGUACUCCGCCAUGGCGUCCUCCACGGCGAAGCUUGCAACCGGCUCCGCCUCCUCCAUGGGUUUGGGCUCCGCUUUUGACGGAUGCUUCCCUCCUCCACCACCUCCUCCUCCGGCUACUGCUCCCCCUCCUCCUCUGUCUGCUCCUCCUCAUCCUCCUUUGGCUCCGGCGAAUCCGGAGGCAGGCCGACGGCGAAACGAGCAACGGGUCUGGCCCGGAUCUCCUCCAACAACUGCAGUCGUCACUCCGGAGUGAGCAUGGUGUAGGUGAUGAUCCUGUUGGGGAACGCAGUAAUUUCAAAAAAAAUCCUACGCACACGCAAGAUCAUGGCGAUGCAUAGCAACGAGAGGGGAGAGUGUAGUCCACGUACCCUCGUAGACCGUAAGCGGAAGCGUUAUGACAACGCGGUUGAUGUAGUUGUACGUCUUCACGAUCCGACCGAUCCUAGUACCGAAAGUACGUCACCUCCGCGAUCUGCACACGUUCGGCUCGGUGACGUUUCACGAACUCUCGAUCCAGCUGAGUGUCGAGGGAGAGCUUCGUCAGCACGACGGCGACGAUGAAGCUACCGGCGCAGGGCUUCGCCUAAGCACUGCAACGAUAUGACCGAGGUGGAUUAUGGUGGAGGGGGGCACCACACACGGCUAAGAGAUCAAUGAUCAACUUGUGUGUCUAUGGGGUGCCCCCCCUCCCCCGUAUAUAAAGGAGUGGAGGAGGGGGGAGGGCCGGCCCUCUAUGGCGCGCCCUGGAGGAGUCCUACUCCCCCGGGAGUAGGAUUCCCCCCCUUCCCUAGUUGGACUAGGAGAGAAGGUAGGGGGGAGAGGGAGGAAGGAAAGGGGGGCGCCGCCACCCCCCCCUUCCUAGUCCAAUUCGGACCAGAGGGGGAGGGGGCGCGCGGCCUGGCUGCCCCUCUCUCUCCACUAAAGCCCAUUAGGGCCCAUAUACUCCCCGGUGGGUUCCGGUAACCUCCCGGUACUCCGGUAUAUGCCCGAACUCUCUCGAAACCUUUCCGAUGUCCAAACAUAGUCAUCCAAUAUAUCGAUCUUUAUGUCUCGACCAUUUCGAGACUCCUCGUCAUGUCUGUGAUCACAUCCGGGACUCUGAACAACCUUCGGUACAUCAAAACACAUAAACUCAUAAUACCGAUCGUCACAAAACGUUAAGCGUGCGGACCCUACGGAUUCGAGAACUAUGUAGACAUGACCGAGACUCAUCUCCGGUCAAUAACCAAUAGCGGAACCUGGAUGCUCAUAUUGGUUCCUACAUAUUCUACGAAGAUCUUUAUCGGUCAAACCGCAUAACAACAUACGUUGUUCCCUUUGUCAUCGGUAUGUUACUUGCCCGAGAUUCGAUCGAUCAUCGGUAUGUUACUUGCCCGAGAUUCCGUAAUACAUCAUCUCGUAACUAACUCAUUAGUCACAUUUCUUGCAAGGCUUAUAGUGAUGUGCAUUACCGAGAGGGCCCAGAGAUACCUCUCCAACAAUCGGAGUGACAGAUCCUAAUCUCGAUCUAUGCCAACUCAACAAACACCAUCGGAGACACCUGUAGAGCAUCUUUAUAAUCACCCAGUUACGUUGUGACGUUUGAUAGCACACAAAGUGUUCCUCCGGUAUUUGGGAGUUGCAUAAUCUCAUAGUCAUAGGAACAUGUAUAAGUCAUGAAGAAAGCAAUAUCAACAUACUAAACGAUCAAGUGCUAAUCUAACGGAAUGAGUCAAGUCAAUCACAUCAUUCUCUAAUGAUGUGAUCCCGUUAAUCAAAUGACAACUUAUGUCUAUGGUUAGAAAACUUAACCAUCUUUGAUUCAACGAGCUAGUCAAGUAGAGACAUACUAGUGACACUCUGUUUGUCUAUGUAUUCACACAUGUACUAAGUUUCCGGUUAAUACAAUUCUAGCAUGAAUAAUAAACAUUUAUCAUGAUAUAAGGAAAUAUAAAUAACAACUUUAUUAUUGCCUCUAGGGCAUAUUUCCUUCAGAUCCGGCGCCUCAAUGGCAAGCAGGCGAAUGACAGGAAGUGGCGGCGGCGGAAAGGAGAAAGGGGAAGAAAUGGGACGGGAUAGGGUUCGGUUGCCGUCGUUCGGCUUAAAUUGGCGACCUUUCUCUAUCGGAAAGCACGCCGGAGCGGCGCCACGCGGCAAUGGAGCGGAGCAGAUGCCCGUCGACCAGAGAUCUUUCUGUGUCAUUGUGUGGGCCCUAUCGGUCAGUCUGACGUGGCACCCGCGUCCAGGCGCGUCUGGGCGUCCCAUAUCCACUCGGAUACGAGUCAGGUAUGAGGAGUGUUGGUCAGUCCGAACGUUUGGGCCAGCUAUGGGAGCCUGGUUGGGUAGCUAAACAACGUCCGAGCACUGACUAGGCAGCCCAUCCGGGUGUUUGGUACGGGUAUGGGGGUCUGGUUGUUGAUGCUCUAAGACCGUAUAAUCAUCCCCUUGGUGUUAACCGUUUUAAACCCACAAUACACUAGUCAGUAGGUCUUGUUUUCUUUUGCCACAAUUAAUCACGUUUUUGGUUGAACAUACAAGUCCGGCCACAUGGUAUAUCAUGCAUUAUUUCACGAAAUUUUCCAUGACUAGCAAGAAAAGUGUGGUGGCAAACACGGAAAUGCUGACUGCUUCCCUCGGUCCCCUAGGGUGGUGGUUCAGGAAGCCGUUGCAUCAUGCAAGGAUGAUGCAUUGAAAGGUUUUGUGUGUGUUGCACAUGUGAUCUCGCUCGGUUUGGCCGUAAACAGGUUGGUGCCGGAGCAGGACAGGCAGCGCAUGUUCACAACCGGCGAGGAAGAUUCCUGUAUCCACUUUUGGUGUAAUAUACCAGUGUAAGUACAUUGCUUGAUUAUACUAGUACUAUAUGAAGGCGAGUUAUAUAUGCCGAGCAUGCGGACCGGGAGCAGAAUAAACUAGGACUUGCUUGCUGGUCUUCUACCUACCAUUGUACUAUUUCCUUUGUGCUUUUCUUCUUCUUCCUACAAAAAAGAGAUGGUAAUACAAUAUCAGGAAGGCAGCCGGGUGCUUGCUCGUAUCUUCUAUGGUUUGAUCAAUUAUUGUUCUCUUCGGAAAAACGAGCCUCGACAAUUUUCGAUUAAAAGAAUCCCACAAAGUUAUUACAAACCAUGUACUGAAACGAAAAACAAACUCAGAGCAUAUAGCAGGCUAAACAGGCUCAUCGCCAAGCCAAGCUAGACCCUCUGCCACGAAACAACCGUACAUGAGGUCCAAAAGGCACACAGGCUACCACAUGGUGUAUGUGCUAAGCAACCUCAAAACAAACAAAAGGCACACAAGUCAGGCUCAGUGCAGCGAAUGCAAGUUUUAAUUAUGAUAAAUGAUGUUUUAUUAAUUCAAAAUGUAGGAUCAAACUGGUAGGAUGCAUGAUGACUAACAACCGGCCUCUAUAAAUUGAGAUGCACACUGUUAGUCUGACAAAAGAAAAUAAAAUAUCGACAUAUCGGCCACGAUAGAGUAUGGUGGACCGACCUGAAGAUUAUGUUGCUACCAAUAUUGGGUAAAAACCUCCCUAGCCACCCGCUCCAACCGCGUACACAUCGUCAUAAAACAAGAAGUAUUGUUGUCUCAUCAUGAGUAUAAAAACUAUACUUCUUGUUUCCUUGUCGAUUGCGAUCGGCGAGGUUGUCUUUGGUUAGCAAAACUCUCCUCUAAAGAUAAAUAUUUUAACAUUUAGUGAAAUUUUCGUCUUUCAAUUUUUCUUGUUAUUAUCCACUAGGACCUUUGAAUGUGUAAGUGCACAAUACAUAGAGUCGACUAUGAAGGAUCGAGAUGUAGUGAGAUUCCAGCAAAACACAUCCCAGGUUUGUGUCAGGUUAAUCAAAUUCAAUCAGGGUAAAAGAUUUUGCCAGGACAUAAGAUGGGAGCCAAUCAAAUCUCCCGUGAAAGAACUACCCGACGGGAAUGAACUAAGCAUCUGUGCAAUAGUAUCAUUCUUACCGCAAAUAAUGUGGUAAAAAGUUGGAUAUUGUUCUUGAAGGCUGGCAUUGCCUAGCCACUUGUCCUUCGAGAAACGAAUCUCCUACCUGUCGUUUAUCGCAAAGGAUCCGGAGCAGAAAAUGUGUUUGUUUGUUGUCAUUAGACCAGCCCAAAAGUGCAAGUCACCGGGUAUUUAAUAGGCCCGAGACACGGCUUUUUUGCCUAGAUACAUAUUACGCGACAGAGAUUUCUAAAGAAAUAAUUGAUUUUAUGCCCCUAGUUGGGUCACAUUCGGCAGGUUUACCCCUAGUUUUCGAAAACACUCGUUCAUGCCCAAAUCACUUUGUUCGUCUUAUGCUUUUGCCCUUUGACUGUUUGACCAUGAAUUCAAAAAUUUCAUAACAAAUUCAUACUAACUCAGAAAAAUGCGAAUAAGAUAUCAAAAUGUUAAGAAAAAUAUCACCUAUAUGUCCAUGUGAUUUGCACUCAUGAAAAAAGUGUUGGGAAGUCUCCGUCUUAGUUUGAGCUCAUAUGAUCUCAACACAAACAGUAAAAUCUGAAAAAUUUGAAAAACAAUUCAAAAAUUCUUAAAUUUUUUUGUGGCAAACAUUGGCCAAUGUUUUGAGUGCUUGAGAAGUUUCAUCAGGGAAUGACAUUCACGGAAGUCGUGGCCAAAAAACAAAAUUAGCACUCCAAAAUGCUUUUGUUUUCGAGCAUCGGUUUUGGUUUAUUCACCACGACUUCCACAAAUUUCAUUCCCUUAUGAAACUUGGCAAGAACUCAAAACAUUAGGAAUUUUUUUAAUUUUUUUAAUUUUUUUUACGGAUUUUACUGUUCAAGCUAAGAUCAUAGGAGCUCAAUCUCAGAUUGGGACCUCCUAACACAUUUGUGAUGAAUGCAAAUGACAUGCACAUAGGUGAUGUUUUAAUGAACAUUUUGAUAUCUUAUUCACAUUUUUCUGAGUAAGUAUGAAUUUGUUAUGAUUUUUUUAAAGUGACGGUCAAAUGGUUAAAGGGCAAAAGUAUACGACGAGCAAAGUGGUUUGGGCACAGAAUUAAGUAUCCCAUUUCUAAACUUCAUCCUCAAUAAAUAGUAUGAACAACCAUUUACAAAGAAAGGCAUCAUUCUUUACUUGUAGAUCAUGAAUACCAAGUCCACCUCUGUCUUUCGGCCUACAAACCACGGGUCAUUUGGUCAGCCUGUACUUUUUAUUUUCAUUGUCUCCUUGCUAAAGAAUCUGGAUCUGAAAUAAUCCAGCCUUUACAAGACCCCCUGGUUGGAGUUAAAAAAGAGCAUAUAGAGAACCAUAUUUGUGAGGACAGAGUUGAUUAAGACCAACCGUCCUCCAACGAAGAGCAACUUGCCUGUCCAACUUCUCAACCGCUGUGAUGCCCCCGAUUCGACCGUACACUAAUCAUACACGCAAAUGUGUACGAUCAAGAUCAGGGACUCACGGGAAGAUAUCACAACACAACUCUAGACACAAAAUGAAAAAAAAUACAAGCUUCAUAUUACAAGCCAGGGGCCUCGAGGGCUCGAAUACAAGCUCGAUACACAAGAGUCAGCGGAAGCAACAAUAUCUGAGUACAGACAUAAGUUAGACAAGACAGCCUUAAGAAGGCAAGCACAAAAGAAGCAACGAUCGAAGAGGCAAGGCCUCCUGCCUGGGACCUCCUAACUACUCCUGGUCGUCGGCGGCCUCCAAGUAGCAGUAUCCGUCAGCGGUGGCAUCUAGCUCUAGGGAUCCACCAUCUGGUUGCAUCAACCGAAAAGAAGGAAGAAGGGGAAAAGGGGGUAGCAAAGCAACCGUGAGUACUCAUCCAAAGUACUCGCAAGCAUCAGAUCUAUACUAAGUAUGCAUUGGUAUCAAAAUGGAAGGGCUGUAUCUGUGGACUGAACUGCAGAAUGCCAGAAUAGAGGGGAAGGCCUAGCCUAUCGAAGACUAGCAUCUUCAAGCAGCUCCAAGCAUCUUGCAGCAUGUAGAAGAGUAAAGAAUAGCAGUUUAAUUAACAAGCAUGUUGUAACAUUAAUGCCCAGAGAUCCUUCCUCGACUCCCUGCGAGAAAGCAAUCCCGGAGCCACAUAUCUCAAGUAUCCAUUUCUAGUUGUAAAAGAUCAGGAUAUAAGUCUGAACGUCCGUUACCGUGGACACGGCUAUUAAUAGAUAAUCUUCCCUGCAGGGGUGCACCACGUUUUCCAACACGCUUGAUUACUCUGGUCGGACACAUCUUUCUGGGGUCAAUGCCCGGCCUCGGAAGAUCAACACGUCGCAGCCCUACCUAGGCUCAGCAGAGAGGUCCCCGGCGGUCUACAUCCUAAGCACUCCGGGGUCUGGGCCCAUCGCCCGUUGCACUCCGGAUCGUUGCGCGAAGGGCGAUACAGGCCACCUCCACGGGGGCGCUGACCAGGCCGUGCCGCAAUGCUGAACUGGACGUCUGACAAAGCUUCGGCUGAUACAGCGACGUCGAGGCCCAUAACUAUUCUCGCGUGGUGGUUAGUGCGUAAAGGCCAAAGGCCAACUCUGAACAAAUACCCAAACCGUAGUGUAUUAUUAGCUUGCGGAGACGAGCAGAGACUCACGAUAAUGUGACCCCGUCGCCCCGUCUCGAGGAAAUACGGCAAGGGCUAGCCCAGCCCACUCGGGGGCGGCCUGCCGGCCCGGCCAUGUCUCGUAACCAUCUUGCGGGUGCUCUCCGGGCCCGCCCGACUUCCACCAAGGUCUCAAGUAAAGUCAAGGUAACCGUGUGUCCAGACAUCAAGGGGAAAACCCGAGGAAUCACCCCCGGUGGAUUCCACUCAAUGUAAUCAUCAAGGUGAACGUAAGAGGGACCACCCUCGAGGUUCACACUUGAGGUGUUGCACGACAGAGCCGUAUCGGGAAUGGUGAAAGAGGAAAUCACCCUCGAUGACCACGACCGAAUAGCUACACUACAGAAUUAUCAUCAGGAGUGCGUUAUGAGGGAUCACCCUCGGCACUCGAUAGUAGCUCUGCAGAGUCGAGCAACAAAAGGGGCGUGAUGUGAUGUGAGGUGUCGGGCUUUGGUCGUCGAUCACGUUGAUCGAGUCGUCGAUGAUGAAGCAGGGGCAACAAGGACAAGGUGGGGGUCACCGAUGGAUCUCUAACCAACCUAUACUAAGCAGUUUAGGAUAAGCAGGUAGGUAACAAUAGCAGGUACAAAAGCAGGCUGUGCAUCAGAAUAGGAGCAAUCAAUUACAGUAGCAAAAUCUAAUGCAAGCAUGAGAGAAUGGAAUGGGCGAUAUCGGGAUGAUCAAGGGGGGGGGCUUGCCUGGAAGCUCCGCUGAAAGGGAAGAAGGGUCGUCGAUGACGUAGUCGAUCACAGGGGCAUCAGCAGCGGUCUCGGGGUCUACCGGAGAGAAGAGGGGGAAGAAACAGUAUAAGGCACACAAAUGCAUGACAUGACAAUAAGCAGCACUAGGUGUGUCCUAACGUGGUGUCACGCGAUACUGGCGAAGGGGGAAAACAUCCGGGAAAGCUUUCCCGAAGUUUGGCAUUUUCGGACAGAUGAAAAGAAGGGGAUGGUUGCAGGUUCGCUAUGCUAGGGACAUGUGGCAGACGAACAGGCUGCGUAUUCAGAUUCGUCUCGUCGUUCAGAGCAACUUUCAUGUACAAAGUAUUUUCAUCCGAGCUACGGAUUAUUUUCUAUGACUUUCCAAAGUUUUAAAUCAUUUUCGGAAAUAACAGAAUUAAUUUAAAUAGAUAAAAGCCAUUACUGUGCCAGCAUGAUGUCAUCAUGAUGUCAGCGGUCAACACUGACCGUUGACUGGUCAAACAGGGCAGUGGGGCCCAUCUGUCAUUGACCUAACUAGUCUAACAGUUUUAAUUAACUAAGUUUAGUUAAUUAGGGUAAUUUAACAAGGUUAAUUACGUUAAUUAAUUAGUUAGUUAACUAAUUAAUUAAUUUUUCCUAUUAUCCAAUCGGGCGCUGGGCGAGCGGGUGCGGGCGCCCGUGCCCGAGGCCGUAGCUUGCCCAGGGCGGGGUGAGGCCAGCCGGGGCCGCGGCCACGGUCAACGACGAGACAAGGGGCCGGCGCACGCGAGGUCGGGCGUGCGGACGCACGCAGGGGCGUGGCCGGGGAGCAGGAAGGCGCCGACAGCGGUAGGGCCCCGCUGGCAGUGGCCCAAAGGGCCAAUCGGGCGCUGGGCGAGCGGGUGCGGGCGCCCGUGCCCGAGGCCGUAGCUUGCCCAGGGCGGGGCGAGGCCAGCCGGGGCCGCGGCCACGGGCNNNNNNNNNNNNNNNNNNNNNNNNNNNNNNNNNNNNNNNNNNNNNNNNNNNNNNNNNNNNNNNNNNNNNNNNNNNNNNNNNNNNNNNNNNNNNNNNNNNNNNNNNNNNNNNNNNNNNNNNNNNNNNNNNNNNNNNNNNNNNNNNNNNNNNNNNNNNNNNNNNNNNNNNNNNNNNNNNNNNNNNNNNNNNNNNNNNNNNNNNNNNNNNNNNNNNNNNNNNNNNNNNNNNNNNNNNNNNNNNNNNNNNNNNNNNNNNNNNNNNNNNNNNNNNNNNNNNNNNNNNNNNNNNNNNNNNNNNNNNNNNNNNNNNNNNNNNNNNNNNNNNNNNNNNNNNNNNNNNNNNNNNNNNNNNNNNNNNNNNNNNNNNNNNNNNNNNNNNNNNNNNNNNNNNNNNNNNNNNNNNNNNNNNNNNNNNNNNNNNNNNNNNNNNNNNNNNNNNNNNNNNNNNNNNNNNNNNNNNNNNNNNNNNNNNNNNNNNNNNNNNNNNNNNNNNNNNNNNNNNNNNNNNNNNNNNNNNNNNNNNNNNNNNNNNNNNNNNNNNNNNNNNNNNNNNNNNNNNNNNNNNNNNNNNNNNNNNNNNNNNNNNNNNNNNNNNNNNNNNNNNNNNNNNNNNNNNNNNNNNNNNNNNNNNNNNNNNNNNNNNNNNNNNNNNNNNNNNNNNNNNNNNNNNNNNNNNNNNNNNNNNNNNNNNNNNNNNNNNNNNNNNNNNNNNNNNNNNNNNNNNNNNNNNNNNNNNNNNNNNNNNNNNNNNNNNNNNNNNNNNNNNNNNNNNNNNNNNNNNNNNNNNNNNNNNNNNNNNNNNNNNNNNNNNNNNNNNNNNNNNNNNNNNNNNNNNNNNNNNNNNNNNNNNNNNNNNNNNNNNNNNNNNNNNNNNNNNNNNNNNNNNNNNNNNNNNNNNGGGGCGCCGCGGGGUCGAGCCCCCGAUCUGGAUCCAGGGGAGGGAGAGCGAGCGACGUGGGGAGUGGGGGAGCUCGAGGGGAGUGGGGCGAGCUGUCCAGAUAUUUUGGGUGCGUGGGGGGAUAAGGGAGAGGGAGAGGUGGGCCGGCCAGGUGGUCCAGCUGGGCCACGGCCUAGUGGGGGAAGGGGCUUCUCUCUUUUCUUUUUUUUAAUUGCCUUCUCCUUUUUACUGAUUUUAAAUUUGAUUUUUGCAACCGACUUUGAAUCAACGCGAACUUAACAACAGUAAAAUCGAUGACAUGGCACCAUUAACAGUGGUUUACUGUAGCAUAAUUAUCCGGGCGUUACAAUUCUCCUCCACUACAAGAAAUCUCGUCCCGAGAUUUAGGAGGUAGAAGGAAACAGUUCAGGGUAUUCAUCACGCAGGCGAUCCUCGCGUUCCCAAGUGGCUUCGUCUUCAGAGUGAUGCGGCCACUGGACCUUGAGGAACUUGAUCGCCUUCUGACGUGUGCGACGUUCAGCUUGGUCGAGAAUGCGGACCGGAUGCUCUUUAUAGAAGAGGUCCUGUUGCAACUCGAGCACUUCAUGAUCCACUGCUCGGAUUGGUUCCUUGAAGCAGCGGUGGAGUUGUGACACGUGGAACACAUCGUGAACCUGAGAAAGGUUCGACGGAAGUUCCAACUGGUAUGCCACUUUUCCACGCCUUCCGAGAAUAGUGAAAGGACCAAUAUAGCGAGGAGCUAGCUUGCCCUUGAUCCCGAAGCAGUGUGCACCCUUCAUUGGUGUGACCCGAAGAUAAGCCUUUUCACCAGGUUGAUAGACCAUGUCUUUAUGAUGACGAUCAUAAUUACUCUUUUGACGUGACUGAGCAGUCUUGAGAUUCUCAUGAAUGACGCGGACUUGUUCUUCGGCGUGUUGGAUAAUAUUCGGACCGAAGAGUGGAUGUUCCCCAGUUUCUGACCAGUUCAGAGGGGUUCGACACUUUCGUCCAUAUAACACUUCGAAGGGGGCCAUCUUCAGACUAGCUUGAUAGCUAUUGUUGUAGGAGAACUCAGCAUACGGGAGAGAUUCCUCCCAUUUCUUGCCGAAGGAAAUGACACAAGCUCGAAGCAUGUCUUUGAGAACUUGAUUGACGCGUUCAACUUGUCCCUGAGACUGGGGGGUGAAAAGCGGUGCUGAAUGACAGAUGAGUUCCCAUAGCUUCUUGGAAACUUGCCCAGAAUCUUGAAGUGAAUAAGCUGCCACGGUCUGAGCUGAUUACCAGCGGAAUACCAUGAAGUGAAACAAUUCUGGACAUAUAGAGGGUUGCCAGCUGACUUGCAGUGAUCGUUUCUUUGACGGCCAGAAAGUGUGCAACUUUAGGAAGCCGGUCAAUGACGACAAGAAUAGCAUCCUUACCUUUUUGCGAUUUGGGAAAUCCAGUGACGAAGUCCAUUUCAACAUGGUCCCAUUUCCAUUCAGGAAUAGAGAUAGGUUGCAGAGUUCCAGCAGGCCUUUGAUGUUCUGCUUUGAUACGACGGCAAACGUCACAUUCAGCAACAUAACGAGCAAUGUCUUGCUUCAUAUUUGACCACCAGAACCUCUGACGAAUGUGUUUGUACAUCUUGGUACUACUGGGAUGUAUAGACAAUGGAGUGUCAUGAGCUUCUUUCAUAACCUCCUUAGUCAUAUCCAGGUUGUCUUUUGAAGGAACCACUAGGCGACCUUUGAUGAACAAAACGCCAACAUUAUCAACAGUGAAGAAUGACGGCCUUCCUUCUGUGAGGUAGCGUUUAAUCUUCUCAACUUGAGAGUCAUAUCCCUGCAUUCUCUUGAUGGAGUCCAAGAGAUCUGGUUCGACAGCUAGGGUAUUGAGGGAACCCUGGGAAACAACACGGAGGUUCAUCUUGCGAAACUCCUUAGGAGGGGGAGCGAGUGCACCCGGAGGAACAAUAUGGAGGUUCAUCUUUCUGAAUUCUUCAACAAGCAAAGGUUGAACUUUGCAAACCUCGAGAUGGUUGCAAUAUGACUUGCGGCUCAAGGCAUCAGCCAUUACAUUAGCCUUGCCUGGUGUAUAGGAAAUACCCAUGUCAAAGUCUGCUACGAUCUCCAUCCAUCUCAGCUGACGGAGGUUCAAAUCUGGCUGAGUAAACAGGUACUUCAGACUUUGGUGGUCGGUGAAGAUCUCGCAACGAUUACCAAGAAGGUAAUGUCGCCACUGUUUCAGUGCAUGUAUGACAGCAGCAACCUCGAGGUCAUGAACUGGGUAGUUCUCUUCGUGAGGGCGCAACUGACGAGAGGCAUAAGAAAACACUCUGCGCUCUUGCAUUAGGACACAUCCUAAUCCUUGUCGUGAAGCAUCGCAGUAAAUGACGAAAUCCUUCUUAGUAUCUGGCGGAGCAAGCACUGGGGCAGAAGUCAGCUUGUCUUUGAGUGCUUGGAAACUUUCCUGACACUUUUCUGUCCAAUCGAACUUGAUGCCUUUGUGAAGCAGACUAGUCAGGGGCUUCGCGAUCUUGGAGAAGUUCUCGACAAAUCGACGGCAAUAGCUGGCGAGUCCGAGAAAACUUCUGACUUGUUUGACAUUCUUCAGAGGAGUCCAGUCGAGAAUAGCCUCAACUCGUUCGGGGUUGACGGCAAUACCAUCCUUGGAGAUGACAUGCCCAAGGUAGGUCACUUCGGGAAGCCAGAAUUCACACUUGGAAUAUUUGGCAUAUAGUUGAUGUUCUCGAAGCUUUUCCAGAACAAGACGCAGAUGUUCAGCAUGUUCUUCUUUGUUCUUGGAGUACACAAGGAUAUCAUCCAGAUAAACCACGACGAACUUGUCGAGGUAUUCCAUGAAUAUAUAGUUCAUCAGACGAGAGAAUGUCGCUGGAGCAUUUGUCAAACCAAAGGACAUGACGGUGUACUCGUAUGAACCAUAGCGGGUAACGAAGGCGGUCUUGGGAAUAUCCUCUUCACGAACCCGAAUCUGGUGGUAACCCAACCUCAAAUCCAGUUUAGAGAAUACUGAGGAACCAGCAAGUUGAUCAUACAGAUCGUUGAUUCUGGGAAGCGGAUACUUGUUCUGAAUUGUUGCCUGGUUGAUCGGUCGGUAAUCUUGGACCAAACGAUUCGUACCAUCCUUCUUCUUGACAAAGAGAGAAGGUGCUCCCCAAGCAGAGGAACUAGGACGAAUGAAUCCCUUAUGAAGAGAUUUGUCGAUUUCCUCCUUAAGUUCAAGGAGUUCAUGUGGCGGCAUCUUGUAUGCCCGCUUGGCAAUAGGAGUAGUGCCCGGUUUCAAGUCUAUGACGAAUUCGACAGCUCUAGCAGGGGGUAUUCCUGGAAGUUCUUCUGGGAAGACAUCUUUGAAUUCACGAACAACUGGAAUGUUCUCUAUUCCCUCAAGAGGUGAAGCAUUCAAUGCAUUCAGAACAUAUAUUUGAUUCUCGGCAUCCUGAGCUGCUCGGGCUGAGUAUUGGACUGUCUGGCCAAAAGGGUGAGUGAGCUGGACUGUCUCAGCUGCACAGUCGAUAAGGGUUUGGUGAGGACCCAACCAAUUCAUGCCCAGAAUGACAUCUAUGGUAGAAACCUUGAGGGCCAUAAGUGAAGCAGUGAAUACUAACCCUCCAAUUUCAAUGUGGUUGUUGUGGGCUAUCAUCGAGGUAUCCCACCUGGAGCCUGGAGAGCUAACCACCAGUGGAGGGUACAUAUUUUCAAACGAUAAUUCUUGCUUGCGAGCAAAUGCUUCAGAAAUGAAAGAAUGUGAUGCUCCCGAAUCAAAAAGAACAGAAGCUGGGACUGAAUUCACUAGGAGGGUACCCAUCACAAUUUUGGGGUCCCGUCGAGCUUCUUCAACCUUUACAUGAUUAACAUGACCAUGACUGAGUGCAGGCGGCCUGGCAUUUGGGUUUUUGGGUUGACGAGCUCGUUCCUUUUGACUCUGUGACGGGCGGCAGCUGGCAGCUCGGUGCCCUGGCUGUCCACACUUGCGGCAUAAACCAUCAUUAUGAGGAGGAGCUACAACACUGGACUGUCCACCCUGAAUCGUUAGCUGUCUCGGUGGCGGAGGCAAACGAGGUGCAACAUAAGACGGCCUUGGUGUUGGAGCAGGUCGGUGAUGAACAUUGUGUGGGAUCCAGACUCGACGUUUCUGAGCAGGCUGACUCGAGGAUGGGCCAACAUCUCGAGUACGCUUGAGCGACUCCUGGUACUCAGUCAGACCAGUUUCAGUUCGGAAAGCUUGGCUGACAAGCAUCGCAAAGUCCGCGCAAUCAUGAGCAACAAGUGUGAGCUUUAUAUCGGGACGCAGUCCUUCACGGAAUUUCUCCUGCUUGUGAGCGUCAGUGCAGACGUCAUCCGCAGCAUAGCGAGAUAAUUCAAGGAAUUUCCUCUGAUAUUCAUCCACAGUCAUUGUGCCAUGUGAGAGUUUGCGGAACUCCUUCUUCUGGUCCAUCAGACCUUGAGGAAUGUGCCGUGCACGGAAGGCUAACUGAAAUUCCUGCCAAGUGGUUACAGUCUCUGCAGGCAGCAUACCCCUGUGGCUUUCCCACCAUUGAGCAGCUGAACCCUUCAGGUGAAAUGUCGCAAAGGUGACAUAACUGGCAGGGGCAACAUUAGCUGAUUCCAUCUCAAACAUGAUGUCACGAAGCCAAUCACCAGCAUCCAUAGGAUUGGUGGAGUUCCGGAAAACGGACGGGUUGAGGCGCACAAAUUCUGGCAGUGUUAUUGGGGCAGGCUGUUGAUGAGCAUUCUGGUUCGGGAACUGGGCCAUUACCCCAGUCAUAAACUGACGAUUCAGCUCAAACUGCUGCAUCAUUGCGGCAAUAUAGGGUGGAGGAUCGUCAGCCAUCCUGCUAAAAUCAUCACGGAGCGGUUUUAACAAGAGGUUGGAGCAGGUGUAUGGAGACAUUCAUGAUGUAACUUGAACAUGAGCAAAGGCACAUAUGUACAAUUCAGUAUCAUUAAAGACAUACAUAUACAUAUACAGAGCCAUUUACACGUUGUUAGCAUGAGUUCGGACAAGAGAAUCAUCCUAGACAUACUAGGCGGCAAGCUGGCACGCGAUGGAGGGAUACAACAACGAGACAUAGCAAAGGCUACAUCCACGUCGGAGAAAACCACUAGAGCGAGGAAUCUGCAGGGGACGACGCAGGGUGCCCUCGAUAAAAGGAUCCUGCGGCCCGUGAACAAUGUGAAGCAGAUCCUGACUCCCAAUUCAAGGAAGGCGUAGUAAAAAUCUCCGGAUGGAUGUGAUCAUGAGAACCUAUGAUAGAGUUAGCAAAAUCAUUUAAAACGAAUAGAAGAGAGAUCAGAGUCCCAGAGUAAAGGUCGAGGAGUAAAACAUCCUAAUACCACCCAAUGGCGACGUGGGCCCGUAAGCUACACGGCCAUGUUAGUAAAUCAGUUUUUCAAAGACUAGACUCAAUUUGGGCCAAGGAGUUGGAAAGGGGGUUCCUAUAGGCAGUCGGCUCUGAUACCAACUUGUGACGCCCCCGAUUCGACCGUACACUAAUCACACACGCAAAUGUGUACGACCAAGAUCAGGGACUCACGGGAAGAUAUCACAACACAACUCUAGACACAAAAUGAAAAAAUGCAAGCUUCAUAUUACAAGCCAGGGGCCUCGAGGGCUCGAAUACAAGCUCGACACACAAGAGUCAGCGGAAGCAACAAUAUCUGAGUACAGACAUAAGUUAGACAAGACAGCCUUAAGAAGGCAAGCACAAAAGAAGCAACGAUCGAAGAGGCAAGGCCUCCUGCCUGGGACCUCCCAACUACUCCUGGUCGUCGGCGGUCUCCAAGUAGCAGUAUCCGUCAGCGGUGGCAUCUAGCUCUAGGGAUCCACCAUCUGGUUGCAUCAACCGAAAAGAAGGAAGAAGGGGAAAAGGGGGUAGCAAAGCAACCGUGAGUACUCAUCCAAAGUACUCGCAAGCAUCAGAUCUAUACUAAGUAUGCAUUGGUAUCAAAAUGGAAGGGCUGUAUCUGUGGACUGAACUGCAGAAUGCCAGAAUAGAGGGGAAGGCCUAGCCUAUUGAAGACUAGCAUCUUCAAGCAGCUCCAAGCAUCUUGCAGCAUGUAGAAGAGUAAAGAAUAGCAGUUUAAUUAACAAGCAUGUUGUAACAUUAAUGCCUAGAGAUCCUUCCUCGACUCCCUGCGAGAAAGCAAUCCCGGAGCCACAUAUCUCAAGUAUCCAUUUCUAGUUGUAAAAGAUCAGGAUAUAAGUCUGAACGUCCGUUACCGUGGACACGGCUAUUAAUAGAUAAUCUUCCCUGCAGGGGUGCACCACGUUUUCCAACACGCUUGAUUACUCUGGCCAGACACACCUUUCUGGGGUCAAUGCCCGGCCUCGGAAGAUCAACACGUCGCAGCCCUACCUAGGCUCAGCAGAGAGGUCCCCGGCGGUCUACAUCCUAAGCACUCCGGGGUCUGGGCCCAUCGCCCGUUGCACUCCGGAUCGUUGCGCGCAGGGCGAUACAGGCCACCUCCACUGGGGCGCCGACCAGGCCGUGCCGCAAUACUGAACUGGACGUCUGACAAAGCUUCGGCUGAUACUGCGACGUCGAGGCCCAUAACUAUUCUCGCAUGGUGGUUAGUGCGUAAAGGCCAAAGGCCAACUCAGAACAAAUACCCAAACCAUAGUGUAUUAUUAGCUUGCGGAGACGAGCAGAGACUCACGAUAAUGUGAACCCGUCGCCCCGUCUCAAGGAAAUACGGCAAGGGCUAGCCCAGCCCACUCGGGGGCGGCCUGCCGGCCCGGCCAUGCCUCGUAACCAUCUUGCGGGUGCUCUCCGGGCCCGCUCGACUUCCACCAAGGUCUCAAGUAAAGUCAAGGUUGUCCAGACAUCAAGGGGAAAACCCGAGGAAUCACCCCCGAUGGAUUCCACUCAAUGUAAUCAUCAAGGUGAACGUAAGAGGGACCACCCUCGAGGUUCACACUUGAGGUGUUGCACGACAGAGCCGUAUCGGGAAUGGUGAAAGAGGAAAUCACCCUCGAUGACCACGACCGAAUAGCUACACUACAGAAUUAUCAUCAGGAGUGCGUUAUGAGGGAUCACCCUCGGCACUCGAUAGUAGCUCUGCAGAGUCGAGCAACAAAAGGGGCGUGAUGUGAUGUGAGGUGUCGGGCUCUGGUCAUCGAUCACGUUAAUCGAGUCAUCGAUGAUGAAGCAGGGGUAACAAGGACAAGGUGGGGGUCACCGAUGGAUCUCUAACCAACCUAUACUAAGCAGUUUAGGAUAAGCAGGUAGGUAACAAUAGCAGGUACAAAAGCAGGCUGUGCAUCAGAAUAGGAGCAAUCAAUUACAGUAGCAAAAUCUAAUGCAAGCAUGAGAGAAUGGAAUGGGCGAUAUCGGGAUGAUCAAAGGGGGGGCUUGCCUGGAAGCUCCGCUGAAAGGGAAGAAGGGUCGUCGAUGACGAAGUCGAUCACAGGGGCAUCAGCAGCGGUCUCGGGGUCUACCGGAGAGAAGAGGGGGAAGAAACAGUAAAUAUAAGGCACACAGAUGCAUGCAUGACAAUAAGCAGCACUAGGUGUGUCCUAACGUGGUGUCACGCGAUACUGGCGAAGGGGGAAAACAUCCGGGAAAGCUUUCCCGAAGUUUGGCAUUUUCGGACAGAUGAAAAGAAGGGGAUGGUUGCAGGUUCACUAUGCUAGGGACAUGUGGCAGACGAACGGGCUGCGUAUUCAGAUUCGUCUCGUCGUUCAGAGCAACUUUCAUGUACAAAGUAUUUUCAUCCGAGCUACGGAUUAUUUUCUAUGACUUUCCAAAGUUUUAAAUCAUUUUCGAAAAUAAAAGAAUUAAUUUAAAUAGAUAAAAGCCAUUACUGUGCCAGCAUGAUGUCAUCAUGACGUCAGCGGUCAACACUGACCGUUGACUGGUCAAACAGGGCAGUGGGGCCCACCUGUCAUUGACCUAACUAGUCUAACAGUUUUAAUUAACUAAGUUCAGUUAAUUAGGGUAAUUUAACAAGGUUAAUUAAGUUAAUUAAUUAGUUAGUUAACUAAUUAAUUAAUUUUUUCCUAUUAAUUUUUUAAGAAAAGGCGGCUGUGGGGCCCCGCUGGCAGUGGCCCAAAGGGCCAAUCGGGCACUGGGCGAGCGGGUGCGGGUGCCCGUGCCCGAGGCCGUAGCUUGCCUAGGGCGGGGCGAGGCCAGCCGGCGCCGCGGCCACGGGCAACGAUGAGACAAGGGGCGGGCGCACGGACGCACGCAUGGGCGCGACCGGCGAGCAGGAAGGCGCCGACAGCGGUAGCGGCAGCAUUAGCGGGGCGAGGCCACAGCGGACGGGGGCGUGUGUGAGCGCGCGCGGCGUCGCGGGCGCGCACGGGAGGGCGCCAAGGCGAGGCGAGGGUGGCCGGGCACAGCUGUGGGGCGCGGUGGUCGGGCAUCGGGCGUGCUAGGCGGGACGUGACCAUGCGCUUGUUCGGGAGGCUGCGGGCGGCGAGCAGGCAACCAUGAUGCGGGGCGCGCAGGCCAAGGCAGAUGAGCGGGAAGGGGAAGAGGGGAGCGUGCUCACGGGGCCCUGUAGAGGUGCUAAAAAUGAGCUCGGGGAGGCGCCGGAGCUCGGGGCGGCGCUGGUCGACGUCGAGGAUGGCGACGACACGAUGGAGCCGCUGGGGAGGAGGACGGGGACGAUCCGGCGAGGGGGGGAAGUUCCGGCGACGGCGUGGCGUCGGUUGGCGGCGGGGUCGAGGCAACGGUGCCUGGGACGUCGCGGUGAGGGGGGCUUCUGGGAGGAGGGAGGCGUCAGGCAGGUGGUUCUCCGGGUGGCGGGCGGCGUCGGGGCGCCGCGGGAUCGAGCCCCCGAUCUGGAUCCAGGGGAGGGAGAGCCAGCGACGUGGGGAGUGUGGGGGAGAUCGAAGGGAGUGGGGCGAGCUGUCCAGAUAUUUUGGGUGCGUGGGGGGAUAAGGGAGAGGGAAGGUGGGCCGGCCAGGUGGUCUGGUGGUCCAGCUGGGCCACGGCCUAGUGGGGGAAGGGGCUUCUCUCUUUUAUUUUUUUAUUGCCUUCUCCUUUUUACUGAUUUUAAAUUUGAUUUUUGCAACCGACUUUGAAUCAACGCGAACUUAACAACAGUAAAAUCGAUGACAUGGCACCAUUAACAAUGGUUUACUGUAGCAUAAUUAUCCGGGCGUUACAACCGCUUCUUUGUGCGCUCCUCUACAUGUUUUCACUCUGCAUUUGUGCGACACUAAUGAUGAAUUAGAAUUCUCCAAUAUUUAAUCAAGAAAUGACGUUGCGCACAACCAAACAUAUCGGCGUAAUCAGCCGCCAUCUCAUUGGCUUCUUCAAAGCAAAACAAUUUGCUCUUGUGGAAGUUAAGUUUAAGACCCGACAUUUUCUCAGACGCUGAAAGUAAGACUUUCAAGUUGCGAGCCGUAUCCGGGUCAUGUUCCAUAAAAACGAAGCAUCGAUCUACUAUGGAAUAGAGAGUCCAUCAUCCAUAGUUGUGGCACUUCUCCCACAAUAUGACCGUCCUACUUGGCAUGAUGAAAUAGAAUAGCCAACAUGUUAGCAACAAUGUUAAAUAGCACUAGAGACAUGGAGUCACUCUGGCGUAGUCCUUUUACAUAUAGAAGUAAUUGCCUACAUCAUCAUUGACUUUGAUAGCCUCACUACCUCCAGUAACAAAAUUUUGGAUCCACUAACACUAUUUAUCAAAGAAUCCUUUCAUUGUUAGGGCAUGUUGAAGGAAACAUGCUAUUACAAAAUACAAGCCAACAGACCACAUCGCAACCAGAAGAAAAAUAAAAGGAAUUGGCCAAAGGAAAACACUAAGGGAGGAACAACUAGAAAUAGAAAGCACAAUACUCCUCACCAUUGGGUUCCAACCAUGCUCCCUUGCUUAGAUUUUCUCCAUAACCAUCUUGAUCCUCAUUGUUUCUUGCUCAGUUCUUUCCCGGUCUUGGAUUAUUUGCAAAAUGGCCCAUGUUUUAAGAUAAUAGCACAAAUGAAAAACCAUAGCAGAAGGAUUAUCAUGAUUUUUUUGUCAAAACAAGCAAUAUUUUUAGUCUUUCAUAUUGUCCAGCAAACAGUAACUGUCCCCCACCCCUCAAACCCAAAUGUCUUUUAUUUCAAGGGAAGGAGUGCAACCAGGUCCCCGUCAUACCAGCCAUCCCUUUUAGGAGGUUUGAAUAGGCCAAAUAAAAUAUCACCACUUGCCAAGCAAGUUUAGAAAUAUCACAUCUAAAGAGCAAAUGAUCGACACUCUCCUUGAUCCCACAAAAAUGACACUCCUCGUUGUGAUUUAAGAGUCCAUCCUCUUUCGACAAGAUUUUUUAGUCAAGAUGCUCCGCUUUAGCAUCAGCCAAGGAAACACCUAAAUCUUGUGGGGAAUCUUCAGCUUCCAAAUGCUUCUAAAGCCCACUAUGGUUGAGGAUUUCAGGAUAAUGUACAAAUCUCUCACCACAAAUUUGUUUUAUUUUAGUAAGGUUCCAUCUCAAUAUGUCUUUCUCAUUAAUCAAAACGACCUCAUCCACCAUUAGCCCCAUCGCAGCCCACUAAUUUGCCGUCUCGCCAUGUAAACUCCUAAGUUCAAAACACUCUCAUCCAACCUCUUUAACCUGCUCCACAGUCACCAUUUUUGUAAAAGAAACAUUAUAAAAUUUAGGGAAUUGCCGAGCCAGUGAUUUGUCCUCUAACCAUACAUCCUAAGCUCAAUAAAAUUUCUCUGACAUUCAUCGACCCCUGCCAAAAUUGAGACCCUCCAACACCAUAUGUCGUGGUGGGCGCACGGCAGAUGCCAAGGGAUGGCUAAAGAGAGGAGGAGGCUCGAGGGCGCUGGUGGGCUCCAGAGGCGAGGUUGGCAUGAGCGGGCGUGGGACGCCGGACAUACCCAGGUUCGGGGCUCUCCGGAGAGAUAAUACCCCUAGUCCUGCCGAGUGUAGUUGGAUGAUCGAUAGUACAAUGUUGCUCCAGGAGCUGUAUGAAGGAGGAAGGAAGCUGGCCAAGGCUUGGGCUGCUCCUUCUCUUCGGUGUUGCUGUUUCGUGGCUAGUCCUCCUGCUUCCGCCCCCGAAUGAUCGUGGGCUCCCGGGGGUUUUAUAGUCCAACCCCUCGGGGGUACAAUGGUAAUGUUAUAAGUCGGUGGGUCUAUGUAGUCGGUGUGCGGGGACCCGGGCUGGGUCCCGCUGAGGGCUUGUGGUUCGCCGGGUUCCCCUAGGUGCGGGCCCCGCCAGCCUAGGGGGACUGUGCGCCGUCUUGUCGAUUGUCAGGGCGUGGCCGAGUCGAGCCGCGUACAGUGCUCUCCUUCAGGUUGCCGCUUGCUGUCGUCAGCGGUGAGGGUGGGGGCACUGUUGCCACGCCGGCCCUGGUCAGCGGGUAGGUGAGGGGCACUGUUGCCACGUUCCUGCUGACCAGGGGCAUGGGCGGGGCACUGUUGCCUCGGUCAUCGUUGAUUGAAGUCUUGUCCCCGUCAUACGGCCUGGAUGGGACGGGAGUUGACCCGCGGCUGGAUUGCGUAGCAUGCCAUGGGUGGCGCUGGCUUGGUGAGGAGGCCUUGGCCGUGCCGGGUUCGGCUGUCUUGCGCCAGUUGUUGAGGCCGAGUCGACGUGUCUUGCCGGGUCGGCUAGUCUGGCCGGCUUGGGGGGCUUGGCCGGGUCGAGCGACCCGGCUAAGCGCGCGCCGGUAUUGAGGGGCGGUGCCAGCCCCGUUGUUUUUGAAGAGGAUCCUGGUUCCGUUGCCUGCCCGGGGUUCAUCCCCCCGACAGUAGUCCCCGAAGCUGUGAAGGUCCGCCGUCUUCACAUGAGUGGGCCUUCGCAGUUUCCCCCUUAAGCAAGGUGGAUUCUGCGAGCGCCAGGUCCGGCAACACCGACUGUGUGCCGGUUUUCUCGGAAACCGGAUCGCGGCGUCUUGGUCGUGGCGGGGACCGAGAAGUCCGCCGAAUCUUGGGGCAAUCCCUCGGGCUUUGCGCCGGUGCCACGUGGUGCCCGGAAGCCGGAGGGGCCUGACAGGCCACUCGCGUUACGGGACCGGGCGACGGGCUGGGGCCCGCCGCCGCGCGCUCGCCCCAAGCGCGCGGAUUUAUUGCGGCGUCCGGGGGCCGGUUGCUCUUCCCCGGGCAGUUACUGCGCGUGUACGCGCGCACUUAUUGCGGGGUAGUGGAACGGGCGCAUGCAGACGAUCCCACUUCCCCACGUUCAAACCGAGGGUUAUAAAUCGGGGGGGGGGGCAGGGGGCGGCGGACAUUAUUCUGGCUCGCGCCCUCCUGUCCCUUUGCUCUCGCUCCGCUCUUCGCAACAGACGCACUGCGGCGCCCGCUGCUCCGAGCAGAACUCCUUCGCCGUCCAUCUUCCUUCUUCCUUCGAUCAUGUCGCUGCCAUCGGGCUCCUGGAUGGGCUCGAACGUCACCUCCGAGGACAUCACCCAACUCCGGGCGACGCGGCGCCUGUCGCGGGAGACGGACGUCGGCGUCCGCCUGCCGCGUGGCGAGCAGAGGCCUCGGCCCGAGGGGCAGGAGCGCGUGGUCUUCCUCACGCACUUCGAGCGCGGGUUCGGGCUGCCGGCGAGCACCUUCUUUCGUGCUUUCCUGGAGUUCUUGGGCUCCAGCCGCAUCAUCUUGGCGCCGGUGCCAUUGUCCAGCUCUCCGGCUUCGUCACCCUCUGCGAGGGGUACCUGGGGGUCGAGCCUACGAUCGACCUCUGGGCGCGCUUCUUCUCCUUGAAGCAGCAGGGCCCGUCGGUCGGGGAGUUCGCCGAUUGCGGCGCCGCCGUCAUCUCGAAGCGGUCGGGGGCGGAUUUCCCCAAGAUCCCGCUGGAGGACUCUCCCAAGAAGUGGCAGAACUCCUUCUUCUACGUCCGCAACCUUGGAGCGGAUCGUAUCAAUCUGCCGGCCUUUGCCAUCGCACCGCCGCGGGCGAAGACGAACUGGGGCUACUCGCCCAAGCGCCCGUCGCAAGAGAUCGUUAAUAUUUGCGAGCGGGUGACGGUGAUGAGGACGCAGGAGGGGCUCACCGGCACCGACCUCCUCGCCGCGUUCAUCAUGCGCCGGGUCCUUCCGCUUCAGGGGCGCUCCUGCCUCAUCGGCGAAAUGGUCGGCCUUCAAGACCCCAACCGCAUGGGGUCGACGUGGCUAUCCGCGGAGCAGGUCGCGCGCGGCGUGAACGACAUCUCCAAGGCCAACCUUGGGGAGGACUGGCGGUUCGGCAAGGCGCUGUACAGCUAGUCGAACCCGGCGCCACAGGUGAGUGUCUGGUCUUCUCACUUUGCUGCCGUGCACCUUCUCAUCCGUCCUGACGCGACGCGGGGGGUACUUCUGAACGUGAUUCGGCAUCCUUACGUUCGGGCUCCGUCGCAGGUGGAGCCGGUGGCACUGGAGGAGCUCGUGGCUCGUGGCGGGGAGGAGGAGGCCGAGUUCGACGCCGGCGCUGGGCGUCGCAUGGGUAAGUCUUGCGUUUUUCUUCAUGUGUCUUGAAUUGCUGACCCCGGCACGGAACGGCAGGUGCUGACGCCAGUUGUUGGUGUAGUGGCGUUGGGCGGGGGAGGCGGCGACGCGGGCGGAGCCGGGUCCUCGCAUGGGGCAGCGCCGAGCCGCCCGCAUGGGAAAGACAGCGUCGUGCCGCGACCCCGGGCCCCGAAGCGCACGGCGGACCCGGCCGAGGCCGGGAGGCCAGCCAAGAGGAAGCGCGGCGGCAGGCACGGGAGGCCAACCCCGGUCCCGGUCUUGGCAGGGUAAGCUUCAUCUCUUGUUUGCGUUCAGGUUUUUUUUGAGCUAGUCUUGUUUCUUUUCUGCUCAUUCUGUCUUCUUCUCUAGGUCGCCAAUCGCGCUGGCAAGGGCGGCGGCGGAAGCCGCGACCACCGAAGGGGCCGCGUUCCGCAGGAGUCGGUCCGACCUUGCCGACCAGGCCGAGGCGGAGGGACGAGCCGACUCGGACCUCGGCCUGGAUCCGAAUGACAUCGAAGCCUUGGCCUGGCGGGACAGGAACCGGGCCGAGGCGGAGCUGGAGGUGGCGUCGGUCCGAGCUUGGACCGACGCGGCGGCGGCAUGGGCGCGACCCGGCGCGGAGCCGGUCUGGCGCGAGAUGCCGGAGGGCACAAUGGUGGCGGCGACGGUCUUUGAGCCGUCGUCGGUGAGGGAGCGCGGCCGUGGAGGCCGGACUGAGGUGGUGAUCCCCGACCGGGGGGUCGUGGAGGUGGAGGAUGACAUCCCGCCGCGGGCCGACGUGGCCGAGCGAGCGGGGACUGAUGGUGGUGGAGGCGGCGUCGUUUUGGAAGAGACGCUGCGGGCGGCGGUGUCGGAGGCGCCGCCGAUUUUGGAGGAGGCACCGCGGGCGGCGGUGCCGGAGGUCACCCCGGCAGCUGGGCCGGAGAUGGCGACGCAGGGCGUCCCGGCGUCCGGGUCAGGGUCGGGGACGCAGGGCGUCUCGGAGGAGGUGCUGGCCGCGUCGCGAGCGGCCAGCGAGGAGCACGCCUUGGUGCCCCGGCAGGGAGAGCGCCGAGCUGUCAUGCCGCAGCCGGCGCGGAGCGGGGGCGCCGUUGUCUUUGGUCCUCAGACCCAGGAGGAGGCGGCGCUGGACGCCGUCAGUCGCCGCCUGCGAGGUCGGACGGAACGGCUCGAGGCCUUCGCCCAGGCCGAGGUGGAGCGGUCGCGCGACCUGGAGCGCGCCGUUCUGGUAAGUCUUCUUGCAAUUUUCUUCUUUGUGGGGGCGCGCCAGCGCACCCACUGGGUGUAGCCCCCGAGGUUCGGGCCAACUACAUAGUAGUUGGGUCGAAUCUUUAGAGUGUUGGCCUUGUUCUGAUUUCUGCUUUCUUCAGCAUCUCGACGCCUUCCGGGUCGCCGCCUACAAUCGUCUCCUGGGCAAGCACCGGGAGCUCGUGGAGCGGCUUGCCGCCAAGGAGGAGGAGCUCCGCGUCGCCGCAGGUAUCCUUGUGCUCUUUUCUAGUGGGGAUGCGCUAGCGCACCCACUGGGUGUAGUCCCCGAGAUUCGGGCCAACUGUGUAACAGUUGGGCCAAAUCUUAAGUCUUGCUUUUUUCUUCUGCUGAGUCCUUUUUUUCGCAGCCGAGGUGCUGUCCUGGCGGACUCGUCUGCUCCGGGCCGGUCAUCACUAUGACUGGCUCAUUGCCGACACCGGCCGUCUUGGCGUCGAGGCAGCGCAGGCGAGGGCGGAGGCGGCCGCGGCUCGGCGGUCUCUCGACGAGGCCAACUGGCUGCAUGAGCAGCUGGCGGGUCACAACAGCCGCCUCGAGGCCGAGGUGGAGCUCCUUAAGGCGGAAGCCUCCAAGGUGGCAGAGGCGCAGCAGGCCCUGGUGGAGGCGGACCAGCAGCGCGGCCAGCUGGCCGACGACAAGGGCCGGCUCCAGGCCGAGGUGGAUCGCCUGCGGGGGCAGGUCACCACGGCUGAGGGGGCCCGUCAGGACGAGGCCCGUCGUCGCGAGGCGGCCGAAGACAAGGACGCCGAGCUGAAGGCGGCCCUUGCCAAGGCGGCCGAUCUGGAGAAGGCGCUCGAGGAGCGCGACCGCGCCAUCGAGCGGGAGUGGCGCGGUACGUUGCUUGAGGCGCAGCACCUGGAAGAGUCCUUCUCCAGUAAGUGCUUUUUUCUUGUCGUUUGCCGGGUCGGGAUUCGGCCUUUCUUCCUGGUUGUUCUUCUUCUAACUCGCUUCUUCCUUUGCGGCAGGGGCCUUCCCAGAGACGCAACGGCUGGCGGAGGAAGCCGUCCGCUAUCAGCGUGACCCGACCGGCGUCGUUGGGUCCGGGACGAAUCCGCGGGUGGCCUGGACCUUCCCGGAGAUCAUCGCCGCCGCUGAGGCCCACCUGCAGGUUCUGGGAACGCAGUUGGGGCGGCUGUCCCAGGCUGGCAUCGCGAUGACGGCGGCCCUAUGGCCGGACUCCGUCCAACCGAGCAGCUUCUCGCGCCUGGCGCGUUGGUUGGAGAUGGGGCCGGACCGGCUUGGCAAGUGGCGCGUCUCCGCCGCUCGUGCCGAUGCUGAGAUGGCGCUCUGGUUCGCGCUGUCCUGGCAUCUGGACCUGCAGCUGGACGCGUUGAUGGGCCAGCGGGCCGGUUCGGAGCAGCUCUUGCAGGUGCAAGCCGGCCGAAUCGCCUCCCGGGCCAGCUACAUCGUCGAGUUCGCCUUCCACGACGAGUUCCAUCCGGAGCGGACGGAAGACGGCGGGGUCGUGGAUGGCGACGACUACGGCUUGCUCCUCCACGAUCCGGAGGGGAGCUCGGAGGAGAAGGGCGUCUACCACGACGCGGAUGCUGAGGAGGGCACUUGCACCUCGCUGGACCUGGAGGCCGCGAGGGGAGGGCCGUCGAUGUCGCGACGCGGCGCUGGAGAUGCCUGAGACACUUUGUGUAAAAUUUGUUAAAUAGCAGGUCCACCCACCCACUGGGGGUUUUAGGGUGUAAUGAACUCGGGCCGUGGGCCUUUUCUUAAAUACUUGCAGAUGUCGUGGGUGCUUUUGCUUUUUUGCCUUCCGUUUUUUGGACCGCUUUCAUGCGCUUUUCCUUUCUCAAACCUCCCCCUCCCCCGCGAGUCAGACGGCCGAGGCUCCGGUCCAUGACAAGGAGUUCGGUUCUUUGAGAGGAGCGCGCAGGACUUGGGUCCCUCGAAAUGUUGAGCGCGAGCGAAACACCCACUGGGCCGGCUGGCGGCAAUCCGGCGAAGCCGGUUGGCGAGCAGCCGGUCGUGCGGCUGUUCAUUUGAUGAAUGGCGGACCGGGUUGAUCGACCCGGCGACCUUUGGCUUAGUGUAUGAAGCUUAAAGGAGUUUUGGCCCGUUGUGCUUGCCAGCCGACAGCCAAAGCUGGAUCUGUGGCUUUAGGGCAAAGUGGGGGACCGCGACAUCCUAACUUUAUCAGGAAUCACCAAGUAAGGCGGCGGGGUAGCGACCGAGCCGGCCAGCCCCCGAGCCCCUGGGUCGAGCGAGUCGGACCGGUGGCCGGGUUCAGUGGUAUAGUGAUGCAAGAAAAUAGGGACACAAUAAAUUGGUCGACAAAAGGCAGCCCCCGAGUCUCGUUCGGGGACCCCAUAGUUUCAUGCGUUUACAAAAGGUGAUGACACAUACACUCGUGUGGCUAACUGUAAAACGGGUGGAGGAGCUCCGCGUUCCACGGCCGGGUCGUUUCUUCACCGGCGGUGUCCUUCUUGCGCUUCCUCGACUUGCGUGCGUCGAUGAGGUAGUAGGCGUUGUGGUCGCGCAAGGCCCUGCUCACGAUGAAUGGGCCCUCCCAUGGAGGGGACAGCUUGUGCUGGCCUGCCUGCUCUUGGACGAGUCAGAGGACGAGGUCACCCUUGCGGAACGCGAGGGGCUUGAUCUUCUUGCUGUGGUAGUGCCUCAGGCCUUGCUGGUAGAUGGCCGAGCGACUAAGCGCCAGGAGGCGUGUUUCUUCGAGCAGGUCGACACCAUCUUCGCGGGCUUCUCUGGCUUCGGCUUUGGUGUACAUCACGACGCGCGGCGAGUCGAACUCGACGUCCAUCGGGAUGACGGCUUCGGCUCUGUAGACGAGGAAGAACGGGGUGAACCCAGUCGACCGAUUCGGUGUGGUGCGUAGACUCCAGAGAACGGCUGGCAACUCGUCAAGCCAGCUGCCGGGUGAGCGGAUGAGCGGCUCGACGAGUCGCGGCUUGACGCCGGACAGGAUGAGUCCAUUGGCCCGCUCGACCUGCCCGUUGGACUGCGGAUGCGCAACGGAGGCCAGGUCGAGGCGGAUGCCGGAGACGGAGCAGUAUUGCUCGAGCGCGCCCUUGGCGAAGUUGGUGCCGUUGUCGGUGAUGAUGCUGUUCGGCAUGCCGUAGCGCACCGCUAUGUGCUUGAUGAACCGGACGGCUGUUGGCCCGUCCAGUUUCUUGAUUGUCUUGCCUCGAUCCACUUGGUGAAUUUGUCCACUGCCACCAGCAAGUGCGUCAUGCCGCCUCGGGCGGUUUUGAAGGGUCCCACCAUGUCGAGUCCCCAGACCUCGAAGGGCCAGGCGAUCGGUAUGGUGCGGGGUGCUGACACCGGCUGGUGGCUGCGUUUGCUGAAGCGCUGGCAUCCCUCACACUUGAGGACGAGCGACUCGACGUCUUGGAGGGCCGUGGGCCAGUAGAAGCCGUGGCGGAACGCCUUGGCCACCAGGGAUCGCGACGUGGCGUGGUGCCCACACUCGCCCCAAUGUAUGUCGAGGAGGAUAUUGAUGCCCCGCUCCCGCUCGACGCAGCGCUGGAACACGCCGGUGGAGCUGCGCUUGACGAGCUCGUUGUUGAUGAUGCUGUAGGCGGACACCCGGCGCUGCACUUGCCGAGCUUCGGUCUCGUCCAUGGGGAGAACCCCGUUCUCCAAAAAUUCUGAUAUUGAGAGGGCCCAAGAUGGAGCCGUAACCACGACGAAGACGGCCACCAGGGUGGGUUCCGAGUCGGCAGCCCCCGACCCGGGUUGAGCAGCCCCCGGGUCGGGGAUGGCGAUGGCCGGGUCCGGGACGAUGGUGGCCGAGUAGAGCUGAGCAGUCCCCGGGCCGGGUUGAGGUGCGGCCGGGUCGUCUGGAACGUGGAUGGACUCGGAGUCCGGCGAUGGCUUGACGGACGGCUUGCGCAGGUGCUCGAGGGAGACGUCGGACGGGAUGGCUUGUCGUGACGAGGCGAUCUUGGCGAGCGUGUUGGCUGCUUCGUUCUCCGCGCGCGGGACGUGGAGGAACUCGCAGCCCUCAAAGGAUCCGGACAGCUUCUGGACGAGGAAGCGGUAGCUUGCCAUGUUGGAGUCACGGGCGUCCCAUUCGCCAGAGCAUUGCUGCACCACCAGGUCCGAGUCGCCGUAGCACAGGAUGCGCCGGAUGCCGAGUCCCUUGGCCAGCCGGAGGCCGUGCACAAGGGCUUCGUACUCGGCGACGUUGUUGGAGGCGGCGAAGUGGAUCUGGAGCGCGCAGCGGAGCCGGUCGCCCUUUGGAGACGACAGUACGAUGCCGGCCCCCAAACCGAGUCGCAUCUUGGACCCGUCGAAGUGCAUGCGCCAAUGCGUCGAGUCGGGAGGCGGCGGCAAGUACUGGGUUUCGGUCCAGUCGACGAGGAAGUCGGCCAGGGCUUGAGACUUGAUCGCGGUGCGGGGCUCGUAGAGGAUGGUGUGGUCAGCUAGCUGGAUCGCCCAUUUGGCAACCCGGCCAGAGGCAUCCCGGCACCCGAUGAUUUCUCCGAUAGGCGCCGUGUAGACCACGGUGACGACGUGCUCUUGGAAAUACUGCUUCAGCUUCUUGGCGGUGAAGUACACGCCAUAACACAUCUUCUGAUAGUGCGGGUAGUUCUACUUGGAGAUGGAGAGCACCUCGCUUAGGUAGUAGACUGGGCGCUGGACGGCUUGGAUCUUGCCCUUCUCUGGUCGCUCGACCACCAGCACCGUGCUGACCGCGCGCGAGGUCGCGGCUAUGUAGAGCAACAGCGGCUCCUUGCCGGUCGGCGCAGCCAGGACUGGCGUGGUGGAGAGCAUGCGCUUGAGGUCUUGGAAGGCCUCGUCUGCCUUGCCGUUCCAUUCGAACAGGCUCGUCUUCUUCAUCAGCUGGUACAGGGGUAGCGCCCUCUCGCCCAGCCGGCUUAGAAACCGGCUGACCGAGGCCAAGCAUCCGGUGAACUUCUGGACAUCGCGCAGCCGAGCCGGCUUGCGCAUGCGCUCGAUGGCCAUGAUCUUCUCCGGGUUCGCCUCAAUGUCGCGUUCCGAGACGAGGAAGCCGAGUAGCUUUCCGGCCGGGACGCCGAAGACGCAUUUUUCCGGGUUAAGCUUGACCUUGUAUUCGCGGAGGUUGGCGAAGGUUUCCUUGAAAUCGUCGAGGAGCGUGAGGUGCUGCUUGGUCUUGACCACGAUGUCGUCCAGGUAUACGUGGAUAUUGCGGCCGAGUUGCGGCAGCAGACAUUUCUGCAUGCAGCGCUGGAAGGUGGCGCCAGCGUUCUUCAAGCCGAACGACAUGGUGAUGUAGCAAUACGCCCCAAAGGGCGUGAUGAAGGACGUCUUCAGUGCAUCGGCCGGGUCCAGCUUGAUCUGGUGGUAGCCGGAGUAAGCGUCCAGGAAGGACAGGAGCUCACACCCGGCGGUCGAGUCGAUGACUUGGUCGAUCCGCGGGAGGGCGAACGGAUCCUUGGGACAGGCCUUAUUGAGGCUGGUGUAGUCGUUCACAUGCUCUAGGUCUUGUUCUUCUUCAGGACGAGGAUCGGGUUGGCUAGCCACUCGGGGUGAAAUACUUCCAUUAUGAAGCCGGCCGCCAAAAGCUUGGCGACCUCUUCACCAAUGGUUCUUCUCUUCUCUUUGGAAAAUCAUCGUAGGGGUUGACGGACAGGCUUGGCGUCCUUGCGGAUGUGAAGUUUGUGCUCGGCGUACUUCCUCGGGAUACCCGACAUGUCCUUGGGGGUCCAUGCGAAGAUAUCCCGAUUCUCACGGAGGAAGUCGACGAGCUCGCCUUCCUAUUUGCUGUCGAGGCGGGCGUCUACGACAACGUACUUGCUGCAGCUGGGGUCUUCUGGGUUGAGCUUCACUUUCUUGGUCUCCUUGGAGGGCUUGAAGGUGGCCUCGUCGGCGGGGUCCGGGGUCGGGAUUGACGCGGUGGAGGCCUCGCCUGCCAGGGCGACGAUCCGGUCAAGCUGGCGCUGCUCCUCGGCAAUGACCAGCGACUCGGCCAACUUGGAGCCGUCUCGGGCGCACUCCAGGGACGUGCGGUAAUCGCCGGUGAUGGUGAUGAGGCCCUUGGGACCCGACAUCUUCAUCUUCAGAUACGCGUAGUGGGGAACCGCCAUGAACUUGGCGAGCGCGGGCCGGCCCAACAACGCGUGAUACGCACUGGACAGGUCCACCACCUCGAACCAGAUCGGUUUGCGCCGGAAGUGGCCGCUGUCACCGGACAGGACAUCUAGCCGGACCCGGCCAAUGGGGGAGCAGGAGAGGCCGGGUACGAUGCCGUGGAAGAUCGUUCGGGUUGGCUCCAGGUCCUCGGCCUUGAGGCCGAGCUUGGUCAUCGUGUCGCGGUAGAGGAUGUUGAUGCUGCUGCCGCUGUCGAUGAGGACUCGGGAGAACUUGCAUGUGCGCCGCGCGAUGAUGGUGGGGUUGAGGACGAGGGCGUAACCACCCGGGCUCGGCAUGACUGCCGGGUGAUCCUCCUGGGUCCAGGUGAUCGGGCGAUCCGACCAAUGCAUGAACUCCGGUUUGGCCGGGACGAUGGUGUUCACCUCCUGCCGAAGGAGGCGCUCGCUGCGCUUUGUCGUCGCCGAGGCUGGUGAAGACGACGUAGGCCGCGCUCUGGUCCGGGUAGGCGUCGUCGCGCAUCGCGCCGCCAGCCGAAGGCGGCGGUGGAGGCGGAGGCGGUUGUCCCGCACCUGGAGCCGGAGGAGGCGGGACGUCGCCCCUCAUGAUGCGCUUGCUGAUGGCGCACUGCCGAAGCGUGUGCGUGGAGGGUCUUGCGCCGCUGUGGUGCUUGCAGGGGGCGUCGAGCAUCUGCUCGAAGCUCAUGGCUGGUUGCCAUGCCGUCUUGCCGGUUUGCCGGCGCUUCGCCGCCGGGUUCGCCGCGGGCUCGGUGGCCGCGACGAGCCGGUUGUUGUGACGCGGCGCCGGCUGGUCGGCCUUGCGUUUGUUGUUCUGGUGAUGCUGCUGCCGGCUGCUUUCGCCGGCCGGCUUCGGAAGGGGAACCGGCUUCGCCUUGCCGGCUUCAUCCAGCGCCACCUGGAUCUUCAUGGCGGAGUCGGCGUUGGCGUCCUUGUCCGCCGUCAUCAUGAGCGCGGCCAUGGUGGCCGGCUCGGAGCAUAAGAGCUUGUGCUUGAGGAGGGUGCCGUCUCGGCACCCGCUGACGAAUUACUGGAUCGCCUGGACUUCAUGGACACCCUCGCAGCUGUUCCGGAGCUCGGUCCAGCGUGCGAGGUAGUCGCGGCCGGUCUCCGUAGGCCCUUGCACGCACAUGGCGAGCUGGCUAGGGCGGCCGGGUCGUUUGUAGGUCCCCGUGAAGUUGCGGACGAAGGCUUCCUCAAAGUCCACCCACGUGUUGAUGCUGCCCAUCGACAGGCUGUUCAACCACGUGCGGGCCGACCCUUGGAGCAUGAGCGGUGCGUAGCGCACGGCGAGACGACGAUUGGCACCGGUGAUGCCAAUGGCCGUGGUCGGUGAGCCAGUCUUCUGGCUUCACCGUCCCAUUGUACUUGGGGGUGUCGCGGGGGAGCAUGAAUCCUUUGGGGAAGGGUUCCUCUCGGAUGCGCGGGCCGAAGCACGCUGGCCCGAUAGCGCCGCUCUCCUCCACCUCCAGGGAGCGAGCGAGCUGAUCGAGGCGGUGGCGAGCGUCGGUGUUGUCGAUGGCGCGCGGGCCGAGUCGACUUGCGGCCAGGCCACGGGGGGGGGCGGGUCGGUUGGAGCCGGACGCCGGCCAUGCUGGCCGGGUCCGCGCUGGGUCUCUAGGACGGGCUCGUUGCCCAAUCCACCGGCGGCUGUAGCGGCCGGAACACGCCGACUCCGGGCUUGGCCGGAGUGCGCCUCGCCGGGUGGCGAGGAAGCGGUGUGCAGAAGCUCGCCAGGCCCGCCAAGGCGGGCGGAGCCGGACCCCGCCGGCUUGGCGAGCUGGUUGAGGCGGUCCUGCUGGGUGUUGGCGGCGUGGAGGAGUUCGCGCAUCCGCCCGAUGCGCUCUUUCAGCUCCUCACCCGCGAGCUGGUCCAGGCCGACUGCGGCUGCCUGGGCAGCGCGCAUGUUCUUCGAUGGGGUAUCGUAGACGGUUGGGACGGCGCCGAGGGCCCGGCCGAUCGCUCCUCCCCGGGCACGCACAUCGGCGACCCGGCUUGGCUCGGCCGCGGCGGGCGUGAAUCCGUAGGCGGCGUCGCGCUCCAGCUGAGCGGCGUCCAGGCGAUGCUGAGUGGCGGCGAGCGUCUCAGAUAGGUCCAGCAUCUGCUGGCGCCUUUCCUCGAGCUGGGUUAGGGCCUCAGCGACGUUGGUGGCGUCGACAUCGGUGCCGAUGGGGAUGCGGAGGCUCUGCAUCGCGGCGCGCAAUGGAUCGGACGGCUCAAUCCGAUCCGCUGCGGCCCUGGCUUCGGCAGCCUUCCUCGUCUUGCUCGACGAGGAGGAGGCGUCGUCGCCGGUGACGAAGACCUCCACAUGGACAUCCAUUGCCCCGGCGGAAACGCCGCCGCCGAGGGAGAGGGGAGAGUCGGAGUAGCUGAGCACCUCGCUGGGUUACUCGUCGGUCGCGAACGCAUCGGAGAUGCGCAGUGCGGCGAAGGAGGCGACAAGCGCGCCGACGACGUCGUCUGCCAGAGCGACGGACUCGUCGGCGUAGGAGAAGGGCCCCGUCCAAAGCAUGCUCCCGGCCAACUCCUCGAGCUGCCCCACGGUGGGCGCCAACUGUCGUGGUGGGCUCACGGCAGAUGCCAAGGGAUGGCUAAAGAGAGGAGGAGGCUUGAGGGCACUGGUGGGCUCCAGAGGCGAGGUUGGCAUGAGCGGGCGUGGGACGCCGGACAUACCCAGGUUCGGGGCUCUCGGGAGAGAUAAUACCCCUAGUCCUGCCGAGUGUAGUUGGAUGAUCGAUAGUACAAUGUUGCUCCUGGAGCUGUAUGAAGGAGGAAGGAAGCUGGCCAAGGCUUGGGCUGCUCCUUCUCUCCGGUGUUGCUGUUUCGUGGCUAGUCCUGCUACUUCCGCCCCCUAAUGAUCGUGGGCUCCCGGGGGUUUUAUAGUCCAACCCCUCGGAGGUACAAUGGUAAUGUUAUAAGUCGGUGGGUCCGUGUAGUCGGUGUCCGGGGACCCGGGCUGGGCCCCGCUGAGGGCUUGUGGUUCGCCGGGUUCCCCUAGGUGCGGGCCCCGCCAGCCUAGGGGGACUGUGCGCCGUCUUGUCGAUCGUCAGGGCGUGGCCGAGUCGAGCCGCGUACAGUGCUCUCCUUCAGGUUGCCGCUUGCUGUCGUCAGCGGUGAGGGUGGGGGCACUGUUGCCACGACGGCCCUGGUCAGCGGGUAGGUGAGGGGCACUGUUGCCACGUUCCUGCUGACCAGAGGCAUGGGCGGGGCACUGUUGCCUCGGUCAUCGUUGAUUGAAGUCUUGUCCCCGUCAUACGGCCUCGAUGGGACGGGAGUUGACCCGCGGCUGGAUUGCGUAGCACGCCAUGGGUGGCGCUGGCUUGGUGAGGAGGCCUUGGCCGUGCCGGGUUCGGCUGUCUUGCGUCAGUUGUUGAGGCCGAGUCGACGUGUCUUGCCGGGUCGGCUAGUCUGGCCGGCUUGGGGGGCUUGGCCGGGUCGAGCGACCCGGCUAAGCGCGCGCCGGUAUUGAGGGGCGGUGCCAACCCCGUUGUUUUUUGAAGAGGAUCCGGGUUCCGUUGCCUGCCCGGGGCCCAUCCCCCCGACACCAUAAGUGAAACCUCCACGGAUUGAUACCUUGGUUUCUCAGCUGCAGAGCAUUCAACUAUCACAGGAAUACAGUUACAUCCACAGAUUGGUACAUUGGUUUCUAACUGAGGGAAGGCUUGUUGCGUACUACAAACUCCUACUUCGAGGAGCCCAACAAAGGUUAGCCACCGUUAGCAGCACUACCCUACAUUAUUGUGAUCCAUCUAAUGUAACUUUUAUGGUGUGUUUGUUGUAGUGUGAUGAAUUGUAAUUUUAUGAUCAUAUUUAUAUAUGAUUUAUUCAUGGAUUAAUUUUAGUUCUUUGCUGCAUAAUUUAUAUACAUAUAUGUUCUUUGAUCUACCAGUCCUUCACUAGCCAUGUUUAGAUGAAUGAUCUCCAAGAGGCAGUUGUGUAUGUUAGUUGGGUUCAAUCUUUCAAGUAAUCUACCAUAGUGAUAGAAACAUAAAAGGGUUUCUAUUGUGUUGUUGCCAUUAAGGAUAAAAACAAAGUUGUGUAGUUGUCCUUUAAACGCAGGGUGAAGACAAUAUACUAUCUACAUCAUGUCAUCAUAAUUAAUUUGAUACUCGGUUUUACACAAUACUUUGAUAUGCAUCUUGGAUAGUGGUCUUGCGGUAAAAUAUUAGCUACAGAUGAUGUUUGAUUAACGGUCUAUAUAUGUAUCGAUGUGAUGCCUAUAUGCAAUUAUGCCAUGUACGAUCAUAAUCAUAAAAGCUGCAAUUUUAUCGAUAUGCAACUUUAAUUUGUUCACCAUGUCAUGUUACCUUUUAUGGAGAGAUGCCACUAGUGAAAUUAUGAUCGUUUCCACUCAUCCCUAUUGCUAUCAAUCUCAAUCAACGUUAUCUCAGUUCCAUUUACAAUCUGAAAUUUUAUUUCUUUAGUUGAAAUAAAUACUUCCAAACACAAGUUGCAUUAAUACUUGAAAGUAGCAAGACUAGAAAUCUUACUAGUUUCGUUGGGGGCCAAGACAAGUUCUGUAUUUGUGUGUGUAGGUACUGAUCAUUAGCGUAGUACAAGUACUCUUAUUAGUUUGAUAAAACCACUUGAGAAAAAUUGAUGCUUGCUAUAAACCUACGCACUUGGGGCUAAUUUUUUUUCCUAGAUUAGGGGAAGCAAGGCCCUCUGUCCUCAUGGAGAGGUGGGUAGAUUGGCCGCGCUUUUUCUCCUAGGUCAUGUAUGAUCAAUGUACAUUAUUUAGUUGAUUGGUAACAAAAUGCGAUAUUUGCCAAAUGAAAUUCAAAAAGGGAAGGGCAUAUGCAAAUUGUAGUAUGUAGUCUUAAUUACCUCUGUUUAUUUUCUAUGAAGGAAAUGUAACUGAAACCGUAAAGACCAUCAAAAGAGAGUAUUUGGAGGCCACUCAAGCUUGCACGCACUGUGCAUGUCUUUUUUAACUGCGUACAAGAAGCACUGCCUUCUUGCUGAUAUUUCUGAAACUUUGGGCAUCGUAUUGUCAUUCUCUGGACUCUAUGCAACAUGCAUCGUUCACCAUUGUGGCCAAUCCUGAGGGCAAAGUGUCGAGAUGUGGACGGGGAGCCAUUCACCCUUGGGUUAGACGGUCAAUAGGACCACUUGACAUGUAGGAUUGGCAGAGGCUUUCCAAUGAACUCAUGACGACGCGGUUGACAGUGCAUGAUGACACUGUAUCCUGGAGACUUGAGUCCUCGAGGGUAUUCUCCACAGGUUCCCUAUACGAAGAGAUCAUCAAGUCUUUGAGGCUCGGUGAAUUAGGGGUAUUUGGAGAGCGAGGAUCCUGACAAAAAAUCAAAAAAUUCCUCUGGCAAAUGCCUAGGAACAGGAUCCCUAGUGGGGACAAAGCUCUCAAAAGACAUCGUUCAAGGGAUGGGACGUGCUUUGUUGUGUGGGCACGACAAUAAUUCUGAUCACAUAUUUUUUAUAUGCAUUGUAGCCAAAAGAUUUGAGUGUAAUUAGGGACGCCAGGGGAUGCUCUUGGAACCCCAUCGGGUUCGUAGAAUUUCAUUGACUCAUUCAAGGAAUCAAGGGUGAGUGACACAAAAAUAGAUUGGUUGACCUUUGCGGCGUUGGCAUGGGCCUUAUGGAAUGCUCAAAAUAAAGGCUUGAGGAAGGGCAUUUUCUUCAAUCAUCUAACCGACCUUCCUUCCAUUUGAGCACUACAAAGUUCAUGCUCGGUCAUUUGUGGCCCUGUAUUGGAACUAACUUAGUUUUGCACUUGAUGACAUGUGUUGUAAACCUUAAGGGCCUCAUUCUAAGCGCUUCUUUAUCUCACCUAAAGCGGAACCGAUGCGGCACUCGCCUACACGCUUGCCUGAGUAGGCCGGGCUGAUAAUGUUUGUUUGUGAGCGGUUUUCGGAAGCUUCCAUGUAUAGUGCACACUGGUUUUGAGAACCAUCCACCCAAUUUUGGAAAGGUUCUAACUGAUUUUUCCAUUUCUCUAUUUUAUGCGUUUUUUUCUUAAUCGGUUUUCUAUUUUUUUUGUUUUUUGUUUCUCUUUUUGCAUGUUUCUCUCAAAUAUGAAAGGAAAAUACAACUAUGUUAUCUACUCUUUUUAGCUCGCAUACCUAAGCUAGAUCUAGUCGAACGGGGCACACACGUAGAUGUAAAAUAGGUGUGGCUUCGCGAGCACCCGAUUGAGAGUGACCGAUCCAGUUCGGAAGCCUGCGCACUGCGUUCGUUCACUAGCUUUUUUCGGUCUUUAACUAGCUUUUUCCCCUCGUUCACUGGAUGUUUUUGUGUUUCUCUUCUCUGGAUUUAAUUAUUAUUUUUCGUUUUUCUUUUUGCAUGUUUUCUAUUUUUAUAGGUUUGACGUACACCGUGGACAUUUUUACAUAGUGAUUUUUCUCAAUAUAUGGUGAAUAUUUAGGAAAUACACUUAAUUUUUUUAAAUAUACCAUGAACAUUUUUCUACAUUGAACAUUUUUUAGUCUACUAUAAUUUUUUAAAAAUUAUACAUCAAACAUAUUUUAAUACUCACUAGAUUUUUUUAGUAUAUUUUCAAAAUACACUGAUUUGUUUCUAACAAAAUACGGCUUAAUUUUCUAAAAUAAUUUUAAUAGUUUUUGUUGAGAAAAUUGUCAAAAAAUCAAAGUAGAAAAAAAGAUUUUAAAACCACCCGCUGUAGAGUGGGCCAGCCCAUUUGCCUAGGCUUUUGAGGCAGAGCGUCCCCUAUUUGAUGCCAACGGCGGCAGUAGGAGGGGAGCUCUCAGGGCGCUUUCUAUUUAGCGCUGCAGGCGACAAUUUGUAUGCAUUUUGCAAACUGGUGCCUGCAGACCUCCGCGCUGGGCCGGCCCAACUCAGUGUCCCUUUGACUUUCUAAAACGCAAUAAAAUGGCGCGCACACAGAAAUUCGACCCAGUUACCUCCUGCUAGCUGGAAUAAUGCGCUAAAAGUGAAAGAAAAUUUGCUGGAACUAUAUCAUAGAGAGGAGCUGAUGUGGAGGCAACGUGCUAGAGCGGAAUGGUUAAGGCAGGGGACAAAAAUACUAGAUUUUCCACCUACGUGUUAGUAUGCGUAGAAGAAAAAACAUGAUAAAAUUACUGGUACAGGAGGAUGGAAACACUAUAGAGGACAUUCACUCUAUGAAGGAGCUGGUCAAUACUUUCUAUAAUAAUCUCUACACCUCUCAAGGAGUCCAUGAGAUGGAUGAGGUGUUGAAUUCCGCACCGGUUAAGGUGACAGCUCAAAUGAAUGAGCAUUUGACUGCCCCCUACACAGCCGAAGAGGUGAAGGUAGCUCUUUUCCAGAUGGCUCCAACUAAAGCUCCGGGCCCCGAUAGUUUUCCUGCUCAAUUUUUUCAAAGGCACUGGGAAGUAUGUGGUGAGGAGGUAACGAGGGUGGUUCUCUGUGUUGUGUCAGGAACGGAGAGUGCUGGUGAGAUAAACAACACUGUCCUCGUUUUGAUCCCAAAGGUAAAAUCUCCAACAAUGCUCACCCAAUUUCGUCCCAUCGGUUUAUGUAAUGUUUUGUACAAGAUAGCUUCCAAGGUAAUUGCAAAUAGAUUGAAAGUGAUCCUGCCGGACAUUAUCUCUAAGGAGCAGUCGGCGUUCGUUCCAGGCAGAUUAAUCACUGAUAAUAUUAUUGCGGCUUAUGAAUGUCUCCACCUCAUGAAGCGAAACAAGGCACAAAUUCAUAGGUCGUGUGCAUUGAAACUGGACAUGAUGAAGGCAUAUGACCGUGUUGAAUGGGACUAUUUGAGGGCAAUCAUGCUCAAACUGGGCUUCUCUCAAAAUUGGGUAAACAUUGUUAUGGGAAUGGUUAGUUCAGUUCCAUUCCCGUUUUUGUUUAAUGGAGAAAAGCUUGAAGAAUUCAGACCUACUCGUGGCAUUCGUCAAGGGGAUCCUAUUUCACCCUAUUUUGUUUUUGCUGGCAGCAGAGGGCCUUUUGUGCCUUUUAAAAACUCGUGUUCAGUCAUCUAAUCUUGGGGGCAUAAAAGUGGCUACAACGGCUCUACCGGUGAACCACUUGUUGUUUGCAGAUGACAGCCUGCUGUUUUCCAAAGCAAAUUCGGAGGGGGCGGAAGCAGUGUCUCUUUUGUUAGAAGCCUAUGCUAGAGCAUCUGGACAGAGAAUGAAUAAAGACAAAUCCUCAUUAUUGUUCAGUAAAGGGUGUCCAGUAACGGUGAGAGAACAGGUGAAGGGAAUUUUGCAAGUUCGCAAUGAGCAACUCAGCGAGAAAUAUUUGGGUAUGCCCACAGAUGUAGGAUCAUCUAAAAAUGGGGCCUUCAAAUAUUUUGUCGACCGUCUAUGGAACAAGAUUAGGGGCUGGAUGGAGAAAACACUCUCUGCUGCGGGUAAAGAUGUUCUAAUCAAAUCUGUUGCACAAGCUAUCCCUGUCUUCUCGAUGUCGUGUUUUAAGCUUCCUCGUGGGUUGUGUGAAAAAUUAACUUCUUCUAUCCGGGCCUUCUGGUGGGGAAGCAAACGGGGGAAGCGAAAACCCUAUUGGGUUUCAUGGGACAAAAUGACCAUGCCAAGAUACAUGGGUGGACUUGGUUUCAGGGAUUUUGAAUUGUUCAGUUUGGCUCUUUUGGCAAGGCAAUCGUGGAGGAUACUAGUUCCCCCCAACAGUCUCAGUGCUCGUAUUCUGAAUGCUGUGUAUUUUCCUGCAUGUUCCAUCCUUGAAGCCAACUUGGGAAAUCAUCCUUCACAGGUUUGGAGAUCAAUUGUGGGGGGUAGGGAUAUUAUGAAACAGGGCUUGGUCAGGCGUAUUGGUGAUGGCUCAUCCACGGAAAUCUGGAACACAAAUUGGAUACCUAGACCGGAGUUCAUGAGGCCAUUGGUGUCUAGAGUGGAGGACCCGCUUGUCUCUGAAUUAAUUGAUACAGCCAACGCUCGAUGGAACAUGGAGCUGGUGAACCAAGUCUUUCUGCCUUGUGACGUGGCUGAGAUCCUACAAAUCCCUAUUUGCUUGAGAAUUAUGGAUGAUUACUGGUCAUGGAUGCAUGAAAAAUCUGGGAACUUUACUGUUAAGUCCGCUUACCGUAUGAUUGUUGAAACCAAACGCAGGCUGGAGGACUGGCUAGAACAGCGCCCGGGUCCUUCGAACAGAAAGGAAGAAGAGAGGAGCUGGGUCAAACUCUGGAAAACUUAUGUUCCAGCGAAACUACGAACCUUUUUAUGGAGGCUAGUACACCAUUCCAUACCGACUGAAGAUGUGAAAAUGCAUCGGAAUAUGUCAACGUCAUGCACUUGUUCAAUAUGUGGCAUGCCGGACUCUUGGGGGCGUAGCCUUUUGGAAUGCACAUCAGCCCGAUGUGUGUGGUCACUGGUUGACAAGGAGCUGAUUGACGAGGUGAUUGAAAACAAUGAACAGAACGCGAGGAGUUGGGUCUUUACUUUGCUUGACAAGCUCCCGCAUGAGAAAUUUACCAGGUUGACAGUCACGAUUUGGGCUAUAUGGUGGGCGCGGCGUAAAUUGGUUCACGAGGGAAUUGACCAAAGCCCUCUGUCCACGUACAUGUUCAUUACCCAUUUUAUCACAAAACUAGGGGAGAUUAAUCCCAAGACUGGGAAUCGCCUAGGUAAUAUGAUGGGACCAGCACCAAGAAGAUGGAUCCCGGCUGUCCAGGGACACGCGAAUAUCAAUGUAGACGCUGCUGUCUCGCGUGGUGCUGGGAUAACGGCUGCAGUGUGCAGAGCCAGCUCGGGCACAUAUUUGGGUUCUUCAGUAUUCGUCAUACGCGGCCUUACGGAUCCAGCUAGCCUUGAGGCCAUAGCUUGCCUAGAGGGGCUGUCUCUAGCUGAAGACCUUGGGCUCCAAAAUCUGGUAAUCGCGUCGGAUUGUGAAGUAGUUGUCAAGCAUAUCAAGGAAGGCUCGGGUGGGAACUAUGGCGGAGUAGUCAAGGAGAUUCAGGAGUGGAAAAAUCUUUUUAAUUUAUGUAAUUUUAAGCUUGAAUCUAGGAGCUCAAAUUUUGAGCCACAUAGACUAGCUAGGCAUGCUCUCAAGUUGGGUCAAGGCCGCCAUGUUUGGUUGGGGCAAUCACAUGAUCCUAAUGUAAUACCUGCAGACAUAUCGAUUGAUUAAUAAAUCCUAGCAGUUUUACCUCAAGAAAUAAACUUAGGCAGCAUCGAUAGUUCAUAUCCUUUCCUUUAUUUACUUCGUUUCGCUUUCCUUUUUUUCCAUCUUUCGUUUUCUGGCUUUUUCUGCCUUAUUUGAUGAAUUUUUCUUCAAAUUCCUGAAGUUUUUUAAUUUUUCAAUGAACUUUUUUCUUAAAUCGAUGAACUAUUUUCAUUUUUCGAUGAACUGUUUUUGAAAAUCGUGAACUUUUUUCCAAUUCGAUGAACUUUUUUUCAAACUCGAUGUACUUUUUUUCAAUUUGGAUGAACUUUUUCCAAAUCUGAUGAACUUUUUUCAUAUUCGAUGAACUUUUUUUCAAAAUCGAUGAAAUUUUUUCAUAUUUGAUGAACUUUUUUUCAUAUUCGAUGAACUUUUUAAAAAAAUUGAUGAACUUUUUUUAACUCAUAAACUCUUUUUGAGUUUGCUAAUUAUUCAAAAUAUAUAAGAUAAACUUCUUUUGAAUUCGUGAACUUUUUUUAAACACAUGAACUUUUUCGAUUUGGUGAACUUUUUUUGAAUACGUGAACAUUUUUUGCAUGUUCAUGAACUUCAGUUGAAAUAUGUGAACAUGUUUUGAAAUAAUUGAAACAUCUAAACGUUAUGUAAUAAAUAGCACGUCUAACCUGCUGUUCUUAAAAGUUACGCGCUGCAAAUGGUCACGUGUAGUUAGUUGGUCGAGUGGUCAGUUGCGCUGAAUGUAAGCGCGAUGUCGCGAGUUCGAAUCUUGUCGACAAAAAUUCUUUGCGUUUUUCUUCGCGAUAUGCGGUCCUGGGCCGGCCCACCCAGAUGUCGCUGUGAGCGCCCGUUAGGUUUUUUUUUAAUGAUAAUACGUGUCUCUUUAUAAAAUAAAGAUGCGGUUACAAGACACGUAAGCACCAACAUUAUAAGGCUGAAAAGAUAGGAUAAUCCUAUGCAAAAUACCAGCGCCUGUUCCUCUCCUCUGACACCAUCGAAGCGGCCACCAAAGGGAAAGAAAACAGAUCACCUCUUCAUCCGAGCUCGACGUGGCUCCAUCGCUGAUCAGCAGCUUUACAGACCUCGAAAGUAGUUUGCCAGAAGCAAAACCAUUGCCGUUGAAAGAAUCAGACCGGGGCAACAUGUCCCCGGACACGCCAUCGAACUCUAGAUCUGACACCCCCGCACGACAACGACGUUGAAGGAGGAAACCAGAACUGUCAGCCACCAACCACAAACCCAGCACGGGAUGCACCAUCUUUCAGCUGUCACUUGCGCAGACAACCGUCUGCGCAUACUCCUGGACAAUAAAACCUCCCUGCUCCACCAUGACGUCGGAGACAAUGCCACAGCAACGAGGACAGAGUAGAAGGAGAGACACACCUGAUGGAGUCGCCGCCGCCGCCGCCUCGCCGACACCAUCCAUGAACCCAAACACAGCCGAUCUGAAGGAUCGGCAAACACACGAUGCCAUCAACUCCAAGACGCCAUGAAGGACAUCGCCGGUGUGGGAGUGAAGCUGAGGCAGAUUUAUUCGUCCGGGCGCCGCUCCCACCACCCCAACGACGCACCACGACCUACAAAUCCAAAACCUAACUACAAAGCGGAGGAACGGGGUCCCCCCUCCCUCCUGCCGCCGGAGCAGCCGGAGGGAGAGGGGGCCAACGCCCUGGCCGGCUGAGAUCGAAGGAAGAAAAUCGCCUCCCUAAACGCCAGGCGCGCCGGCGGCUAGGGUAGGGAACACAAUAUUGCCGCACCAAUCUGACAAAAGCGCCCGUUAGGUUGCGCGGCGCUGAAGGCGCGCAAAUAGGAGGUCCCAGCUCUCCGUACAUGCAUGCCGAAUUCUAGUUAGCGCUUAAGGUGCUACUUUUAGUUCUAUCGUAUGUGGCGCUCAUUAGAUAAGCAUUAUGGGCCGGCCCAUGUAAAGACGAUUCGCAGGAGACUAGUCCCGGUUUUGGAAAGUGACCGCAAGCUUCUGGUCAGGGUUUCUGUCGUCUUUGUUUUCUGGAUCGGACUUUGCUCGGUUUUAUUUAUUUUCUUUUUCUUUUUCCUUUUUUCAACUACAUAGACUUUUUUCAUACACAAAACCUAUUUUCAAAUUCGCGUGCCUUUCUUUGAAUUCAUGAACUUUUAUGAAAUCCUGAAGAUUUUUAAAUUCACAAACUUUUUCGAAGUCACAAAGUUUUUUACUUUGUGAAUAUUUUCUGAACUCUGAACAUUUUUUGAAUUGAAAAAAAUCAAACUUGUGCAAAUUUUGAAAUCCAUGAUUUCUCUCAAUUCGCAAAAAAAAAUUUGUGAUUUUUUUACGAAUUCUCAAACUUUUUGAAAUCAUGAAUUAUUUUCAGUGUGUAGAGCCGGUAAACUUUUUUCAAAUGGAUAAGGUCAAUGGUUAACUUGUCAUCAAGCAAGAAAAGAGCUUCUCUUUUGUUUUUUAGUGUAUAGCGAGCGAGCGACUGCCUCACUAGUUGUGUGAGCGAGUUAAUGGGCCACAGCCCGCAAAUGUCCACGUGAGCAUCGGCGGCAAAUUGAACGCUUGAAGUGUAUAGGAAGUCCCCAUGCCUAAGAAAGAAAUCGAGGUAAAUGGACCGACGGUGCUUUAUGGGUCGGCCCAAUACAUAGCAUGUGUACUGAAAAUGUGAGAUAAAGACAAGGACGAAUCCCAUUGUAAUGACUGGGCGAAAGGGGAGCUCCUAUUGGGACGUUCAAUGCAUCCAAUAGAGCAUGCACUAGGGGACCAUGACUGGGCUGGCACACUAACAUAGAAUCGAAGCGAGUUAAGCACAACAACACGACGCCAAACAUCCUAAAAAGAGGGCGCUUGCUAGAUCGAACUUGCGACCACAAGAACUGACCGCAUGCACCACUUGAACUGAUGGCUGCUGGUGACUAGCUUGUAGCACGAAUCUUUAAGGAUAGACAACAACAACAAUAGAGUCAAAAACAUUUAAGUUUCAAACAUUUCUUGGAAACCAUGAACAAUUUUGAAAUGCCAAUUCUUUUGAAAACAUAAUUUGUUUUUCGAAACUCCUUUUUUUUUGAAAAAUGUGAACAAUUUUGUAAUUUCGAACAUUUUUUUAAAUUCUUGAACAUUUUUUCAAUUUUUGAACAAAUUUGAAAACACAAGAAUAAUUUUUGAAAUUAUGAACAAAAAAAUGAAACUGUGAACAUUUUUUGAAAUUCAUGAAGAAAAAUAGAAAAAGGGGACAUUAUUUCAAAUUGGGCACUCAAUUUAAACCGCAAAUAUUUUCUCAAAUUGCUGAACAUUUUAGGAAAUCAUGACUUUUUUUGUUUGAAAAAUGAAAUAUUUUUUGAAAUUGUGACAAAAUUUCGAAACUACGAUUAUUUCUGAAUUUUUCUCAAACAUUUUUUAGAUUGUGAAAAAAUGAGAACAUUUUUUCAAUUAAUGGAUAAUAUUUGAAAAUUUUAAACGCCUUUGAAAAGAAAAACGAAAAGGAAAAAGGAAUUUUUUAAGAAAAACAAAGAAAACGAAAAAAGGAAAAGAAAAAGAAAAAGGAAAGGGUAAAACGAAUGAAAAGAAAAUAAUGGAAAGAGAAAGGGAAAAAACAAAAAAAAAA
rnacentral:lncRNA from 1 species